AAGGUGUGAUUGCUCAUCCGACAACUUAAUACACCUUUUUAUAUUUAAUAGUCACAAUUUGAUGUUUGUGGCACAAUAGGAUAAAUAAGUAUUUAUAUUAAGACUAAAAAAAAUUGACAGAAACAUAGACAAAAAUAAGAUGUCAAGAAACAGUGCCGAUUUACACAAUUGAAAAACAAGGUAAACCAGCGCCGUUUUUAACUUGUUUCUGUGAGCGUUCUAUCACUUUGGCAUUUGCAGGGCAUAUGUAGGCGUGAAAACGCAUAAACAAUUCUUCAAAAUGAAAAUUUCCGACUAAUUUCUUAGUCCAAAUGCCUUUAGUUAUCAUCUUCCCAUUAAGUACAUUGGGCCUUUCUGCACCUAGAAAUCUACCUUAAAAGAAAGUUUUAGUCCUCGUGUUUAUGACUUCUCUGCAGGCGGUAGAAAAACUUAUCCAUCCACACAGGCUAGGAGAUGAAAAUAGUUCCAACCAAACUCCUAGAGAGGUCUUUACCCAAGAACACAAGGAUUUAGUCAAAGAAGGAGAAAAAUGGAUGAAGGAAACAGCUUCAUCUUGCUCAGUUGUAGCUGCACUCAUUAUCACUGUAGUGUUUUCCGCAGCUUUCACGGUACCUGGUGGCAGUGACAGCAGAGGAAUACCAAAUCUUUUACAUGAAAAAUCUUUCAUGAUUUUUGCCAUUUCAGAUAUGCUUGCGCUUUUUUCUUCCAUUACUUCAGUUCUAAUGUUCUUGGGCAUCCUCACUUCACGCUACGCAGAAGACGAUUUUCUUGUAUCGUUACCAAGGAAGUUAAUUAUUGGCCUCGUCGCCUUGUUCUUUUCUAUUGCAAGCAUGAUGGUAGCCUUUGGUGCAACUGUUCACAUAUCUCUUUCUCAUAAAUGGAAUCUGGUUAUCAUUCCAGUUGCUCUUGUUGGAUGUGUCCCUGUCACCUUAUUUGCAUUCCUGCAGUUUCCUCUUUUGCUUGAUAUGUGGUUAUCUACUUAUGGCCGCGGCAUCAUCAUAGACAGCAGUUGGAGAGAAUUAGCUAGCUGCGACUUGGUUGCUAAAGGUAACUAAAAAACACGGUCAUAAAAGCUGACUAAAUUGGGUUAUUGUCCCGCUGUGUAACUAAUUCAUUUCUUGUUGAUUUUUCCUGAUGCUUUUUCUAUAAUCAUUUUUGAGUGUUUUGAGCUGUGUACUUGAAUUUGGUUUGUAAAAGUCCAUUCUGAGGCUGGCUCGAUUGAGGAACUGAACCUUAGAAAAUUUGUUCUGUUUUUUUCGUUUUCUUUUUUGAUCUCAUUUAGACAAUAAUUGAUCUUUGACCAUAUUUGUUUGAGUGAGAAGGAUAUAUUAAUCUGAUUCCAAUCAGGCCUUUCCCUUUAGGAACAAUAUUUAUUCCUAUGAUCUUCAUUUGAUUUCUAUCAACUGGCAAUUAAAAGUUGCGAUGAAAAUUUUUGGGCUCCCAACCUGUCUGGGAUGCUCAAAAUCCUUGGUCUUAAGGUGGCUAAUGGUGCCUAUUUCCUCAAUAGGAACCAGUCUCAACAAUGGCUUUUUGUAAACAAAAACCAAGAACAAAAUCCUAAAGCACUCAAGAAGGUUACGGAGAAACAAGGAUCGUACAAAAUGAGGCUUAGAUCAAAAUAGAAUCAAAAAACCUCAUUUAAGGCUCUGUUUUUCACCUGCUGGACUAGUGACUAAUUUUAAUUACAGGUUCAAAUAAAAAGUUCUAAACACUUAACAAGGAUUAUAGAACAAUCGUCAUGAAAAAUAUUGAAUUUAAACUCAGCAAAUAACCAAGUAAUCCCCCAAGAUCCACUUCCAAGCACUUAAAUCUCAGAAUUACAUCUAUAAAGAUCAACCUUAAUGCAAUUGACUCUUAAUGAUUCAAGAACGGUAACCAAAACAACAAGAACAGAAACAAAAUUACACAUUUUAACAGUAGAGAUUUAUAGUGGUUUGGCUUCAGGCAAACCUACAUCCAUUGUGAAAAGAGAAGCAAGAUUUCACUAAUUUGGGUUUUUCAAGAUACAAUGUUGCAGAGAGCGUGUGACAGAAUCACCAGAUUACAAUAACCACUCAUGAUGCCUUAUAUGCAGAGAGAUGUUCAUCUAGAAAUGCCCCUUAACAGCUAGCUCAUGUAUUUCUGGGUUUCUUAUCAAAACCCAGAAGCUUCCCGUACAUAUAACGACCUUAACAGCCAUAUGAACCCGUUGAUGGACACGUGUCAAGGCCUCAUCCAUUAUAUUACGCAAAACGGCAGGCAAAUCUAGCUAUCGACCCGCAGCAGAGGCCAGAGCCAGCUUCACAACGUAUUAGCCAACAGGUUUUGUUUUGGUCCAUAAUCACAUGUAUCACUUAAUCUCCCAGCGGACAAUACAUAAAUGUCACACGUCCCUCCGGGGCUCUACGAAUGGCAUGUCAUACGCGUCUAGAGAAUGUAACCGACUUGUCAGUCUUGAACAUAAACCCAGAUUUGAGCUUCAUCCUUCAACAAAAAAUGACCAAGAAAUAGCUUAUUGGAAGCAUAUCUAAAAUGGAAAAAAUCAUAGAAGAUGAUUGAUCCAGGAAAUUGGGUAUUCUUUUGCUAUAUAUGUCUCUGCCACCUAGUAUAUUAAAAGUUGUGAUGGAAACUAUUGUGAUUAUGAGUGCAAAAAUUGAGCAACAUGAAAUUGAAUUUCGAUUAUUAAUAUGUCAUGAUAAAAAAAAAAAAAGAUAAACUAUAGACUAAAUAAUCUUAACACCUGUGUGAAAUCAAUCCUCUUCUUUUGAGUAAAGCCUUUAACAAAAAGCCUGACUUUAAAUCUUUUUGGUUCAACACUUGAUAUUCCUUCUUUAACAUUGUGAAUCCACUUACACCAUACUACUUUCUUGUUUGCAAGCCUCUUUAUUGGAUCCCAAGUAUGGUUUUUGAUCAAUGACAACAUUUCUUCAUCCAUAACUUCCUUCUAUUUUUAUGACCUAUCACUUUUAGCCGCCUCUGAGUAACUCUUUAGUUCAUCACUUUCAACUUCAUGUGCUACUUUAAAUACAAAUGCAAUCAGAUUUGUAUAUGCAUACCUCAUGGGUCAUCUUAUUACCCUUUUUCUCUCUAUCUCUCACCAAUUGAUAAUCUCUGAUUUCUUGAUCACCUGCUUGCUCAUCUUCUGAUUUAAAAAUGUCCAUAUUAAAUCCUAAUUCAGAUUCAGCUCUUGGUUUCUUCUUUGUAUUAGAAGUUGACAACUCCACCCCAAAAUGAAUCUUUUGAUCUCUCACAUUGGGUUGUGAGAUAUUAGGUUUACAAUGAGUUAAGUUUUAAAGCAUCUCAGACUCAUGUACUAGAGUUUUUACCCCUUCACCCUAUCAAAAUAGCCAAGAAAUACACAUUUUAAGGCCCUAAGUUCUCGCUUUCCUUGCUUAAUGUGUGCAUAUGAAGGCAAACCAAAGACCCUCAAACCAGAAUAGUCUGUUGGUUUGCCAAACUCGAGUACAAUGAGUGUUUUAAAAUAAAUUCUACAUGAGGGGCUUUUAUUCACUCUAUAUAAACUGUAGAUAAGACUUCUGCCCAUAAUGUUAUUGAUAACUUUGAAUGAACAAGCGUGCGUCUCACCUUAUCAAUCAACGUUCUAUUCAUCCUUUCAGCUAAACCACUCUAUUGAGGGUAUAUAUCUCACUAUUUUGUGUCUUACAAUCCCAUCCUCGGUAUAAUAGUCAUCAAAUCUCUUAUUACAAAACUCCAUCAUUGAUGACAAAACAAGUUACACAUGAAUUUAUGGAUUAAUACAAAUCAUAAGCACUCACAGCAUUCAUUACCUUCAAAAACUAGAUUGAAAAAAGCCUAGAAUUAAAAAUCAAAGCCUUACAAUGCGAUAUGGGAGGAGAAUACAAAGUGUUUGAGUCAUACCUUAAACAUGAUGGGAUAUCAUUAAGAUACUCUUGCCCAUAUACACACCAAUAAAAUGGAAAGGCUGAAAGAAAACACAGACAUCUUAUAGAAACUGGCCUAAUACUUCUUGUUCAAGCUGACAUACCUCUCAAAUUCUGGUGGGAAGCUUUCUCAAAUGCCACCUACCUCAUAAACAGAAUCAGUACUCCUGUUUUAAUUUUUAAAUAAUAAAACACCAUUUGAAGCCUUUUACUCAAAGAAACCAAAUUAUUCCUUUAUCAAAAUUUUUGGUUGUGAGCGUUAUCCUUUCUUAAGACCUUACAACAAUCAUAAAUUUGAUUUUCAUACUUCUAAAUGUGUAAAUCUAGGUUUUAGCCAUACAUAUAAAGGUUACAUGUGUCGAAAUUCAAAUGGAAGAAUAUAUAUUGCAACAUAUGUUAACUUCAAUGAAAGCUCUUUCCCUUUUCAAACAAAUCCAAAAUUUAUGAGCUCCAAACUAGCCCAAUCGUCUAUAAAUUCAUCACAAUGUCUUCUCCUUCUUAGAGUUAUAGCAAUGAGGUAACAGCAUCUGGUUCAAACUUAUCUGAUAAUCUAAUCCAAGAAAUUACUCCUUCUAAUGAUCAAGGUUCUGACAACAACAUGAUCAUAUUAUUCCAGUGCCCAAUAAUGUUUCAAAUACACACUCUGAAACUCAAAAUUCUUCAAACCAUUGAAUUAAACCUUAAAACAAUGAACUUCAAAACCAAAAUCCUGAUCUAAACCUUCACAUCCUAUGAUAACUAGAGUCAAAGCUGGAAUUUUUAAAACUAAAGUCUACAAUACAGAAAAAGUCUUGUCACUAGAUACACCCUCAAGUGUUGUUGAAGCUUUAAAUUAUCAAAGCUAGAAACUAGCAAUGCAGGAUGAGUUUAAUGCUCUGAUGAAAAACCAGACUUAGUGCUUAGUUCCCCGGAGCAAAAUAUAAAACUUGUGGGAAACAAAUGGAUUUUUAGGGUAAAACAAAACUUUGAUGGAUCAAUAAAUAAAUAUAAAGACAGACUAGUAGCAAAGGGUAGAUUAUCAGGAAACAUUCAACCAUGUAGUAAAGGCAGCAAUUGUAAGGAUUGUAUUGAGUCUUGCUAUUAUGAAUAGCUGAAGGUUGAGACAGAAUGAUAUUAAUAAUGCAUUCCUAAAUGGAGAGCUGACUGAAAUUGUAUAUAUGCCUCAGCCAGAAGGAUUUGUGAAUUCAGAUCACCCAAAGCAUGUUUGUAAAUUGAAGAAAGCUCUCUAUGGCUUAAAACAAGCACCUAGAGCUUAGUUUGACAAACUGAAAUUAGUUCUUGAAUCAUGGCAGUUCUGUUGAGCUAAAUUAAACACAUCCUUAUAUUUCAAACAAAAUAGGAAUGAUCUAAUCAUCUUACUAGUCUAUGUUGAUGAUAUUAUAGUCACUGGGAGUAAUCAUGUUGAGAUUGAACAACUCAUUCACAACUUAGGAAAUACCUUUGCUCUUAAGAAUUUAAGGCAACUUAAUUUCUUUCUUGGCAUUAAAGUUACAAAAAAUCAAAAUACUCUAGUACUGUCUCAGGCUAAAUACUUAAAGGAAUUACUUACCAAAUUUGAUUUAAAGAACUGUAAUGGAGCAAACACUCCACUUGCAACAACUGAAAAGUUAAGCAAAUACAUGGGAAAGAAAUGCCCAACUCAAUAUAGAAGAGCUAUUGAAGGGUUGCAGUAUGCUAUGCUAACUAGACCAGAGAUUGCACAUGUAGUAAACAAAUUAAGUUAGUUUAUGGCAAAUCCUUUAUAGCCGCAUUGAAUAGCUUGCAAGCGAGUAUCGAGAUAUCUAAAAGAAACAAUUGACUACGGACUAAGUUUCAAGAAGUUUGAUUCCCUUGAUCUAAUAGUCUAUUCAAAUGCUAAUUGAGGGAGUGAUCCUGAUGAUAAAAGAUCUACUAGAGGUUACUGUGUGAUAAUCUAAUUAGCUGGAGUUCAAAUAAAUAGAGUGUGGUAUCUAAAUCAUCAGCAGAGUCCAAAUACAGGGCUAUGGCAUUGGCUUGUGCAAAGAUAACAUAGAUAUGUUCAGUUCUUAAAGAACUAGGUGUAAACCUCAGCUGCACACCUUUGUUGUUAAGUGACAAUACAAGUGAAACUACAAUUGCCACAAACUCAGUUCUUCAUUCCAAAACUAAGCACAUAGAAAUGGACAUUCAUUUUUUCAGAGAUAAAGUUGAAAAGAAAGAAGUUGAAAUUGCAUUUGCAUCAAGCAAUGAUCAAAUUGUUGAUGUUUUAACUAAGCUAAUUACUUAUUUCCAAUUUAGCUUCUUCAGAAACAAACUUAAAGUCUCUGCUAGAGAUUUAAGUUUGAGAAGGGAUGCUGAAAUUAUGGAUGAAGCUGAACUUAGAUCAACUCAUGGGGGAGUACCAGCUGGAGCCUACUUGUAAACCAAGGUAGUUGCUUACAAGACUGAUGAGCUAAAAGUCACACGCACAAAGCAAGAAGAUUCUAGAUGGCAAAAUAGCUACACAGAGAUUCCUCAAUUGUUAUAUGAUGUAAUAAAUUAGUUAUUAAUGAAAAGCUGAGUUCAAAGUAUAAAAUUUACAUUUAGUUUUGAGUUUGUUAUUAGUAUAACUGGAAAUAUUACUUGGAUGCUGAGUUGAGCAGCUAUAAAUACCAGCAAGAUAUACAAAGAAGCAUGAAUGAAACAGUUACAAAUUCUCUCUCUAUGUGAUCUCCAAAAUUCUUUCAUGGGCAACUUGAUAAUGUAAUUUAUUAUGCAUUAUGCAUUGUUUGUUUUAUUUGCAGCGCCUGGUAUCAAGCAGGUUCAGGAUGCAAAAUUGACACAUAAAUUGGCCCUUGAAUUGACCAAACAAGCUUUUAAAGCAUUUUCAAAUGUUUAUAAUGUAAAGGAUUAUGUAUCUUUCCAGUCAAACACCAUAACUGCUGCAGCAAGCUCUGGCAUUGUUAAAAUCGUAAAGAUGUGUCUUCAAAUGUUCCCAUAUACAAACCAUACUGAAAGUUACUGUUCAACAUGGACAAGAAAAGAUUUUGAAUCUUAUGCAUAAUAUGGUCGUAUAUAAUAAGUUCACAUCUCCCCAACUAAUUGAUGAAUCUACUGAGGACACUAUCUUGCAUUUGGCAGCAAAGUUAGCACCUCCCGCUCAUCUAAGAAUUGUGCCUGGUGUAGCUCUACAAAUGCAAAGGGAGGUGCAGUGGUUCAAGAUUUUAACCCCUCUUAAACCACAUAAAUUAUCCCUGCUGCUUACUCUUCCAAUUAGUAAUAUUAUGCCUUAACAAUUUUGAUAGAUGUUCUUGUAGGAGGUAGAGAAAUUGGUGCACCAUUUUCUUAAGGAAGCGCAAAACAUAGAUGGAAAACAGCUCGGGAUAUAUUCACCAAUCAACACAAAGACUUGCUAAAGAAUUCAGAGAAAUAGAUGAAGGAUACAUCAAAUCCUUGCAUGGUUGUCACUGCUCUCAUUGCUACUAUAAUGUUUGCGGCAGCUUAUACCGUGCCUGGAGGCAACAAUGAAAGUGGCAUCCCAAUUUUCUUGAGAGAUCUUGAGAGACAAAUUAUUCAUGGUGUUUGCUAUCUCAUAUGCACUAGGGUUUAUUUUCUCUUCUACUUCACUUUUGGUGUUCUUAUCUAUCCAAACUGUGCGGUAUGCAGAAGAAGAUUUCCUCGAGUCACUGCCAAAAAAAUUAAUAAUAGUUCUUGCUUCUCUCUUCCUCUCUAUCGUGAACAUGAUGAUAUCUUUUGUGGCAACUUUUUCAAUUGUUCUCCAUGAUAGAUCGAAAUGGUUAGCCGUUACAGUUCCUAUCCUGGCGUCUCUCCCUGUGACCAUAUAUGUAUUACUACAGCUGCCAUUGUCUGUUCAAACGUAUCAAUCGACGUAUGGAUCCGGGAUCUUUCGACGUGUUAAGAUUUAGUACUUCUUGUAUGUUUAGUAAUGUGAGUCACAAUCCUAAUGUGGAUUCUUCAUGAACGAUGUUGUAUUAAAGUCUUUCUUUCAUAUUUAAAAUAAUAAAGUUUGGUGAGUGACAUUGUUACUUGGAUAUGCUAUCUUGCUGCUGAAAGUUUAAGGCACCUCUUAGUUCAAAGUUUUGAUCAAACUUAUAGUUGUCUGAGAAAAAUUUAAUUAAUUUUAUGUGGAAUCCGUGCUAUAAUUUAUCCAACAUAAGAAUUAAUGCAGUGGAGUGUCGAGAAACUAAGGACUGAACUGAACAAACUGAAACAAUUUAAAAAUAGAAGAAUCUUGCUAAACUAAAGGAUUUUAUUGAUAUUUUACCAGAAACAUUACAACGGCUCACUCUUCUUUCUCUCUUCUAAUUUUUUACUUUUCACUUAGAGCAUCUCCAAAAACCUCUUCAAGUAAAAUUCUACAUCUUAUUUGAAGAGUUAUAUCAAUAUUAAACACUUCAAAAGACACGUUAAUUUAGAUUCUUCAAAUAAGAUUUAUUUCUUACUCUUUAAUAUUGCCGAAUGAAUUUCUCCCUCUUCUAUUAAUAUUUUAUUAUUAUUUAUUGAAAAGAUAAGACUGCAAUAAUUAUCAUUUAUGUUUCCUUUCAAAAACAUAACAGCAAUUCAAUUUAAUAGUGGAAAGAUUUGAUUAAAAUAAUGUUAACUUAUUCUUAUUUAAUGAGUCUUUUGGAGGAGAUUGUAUUUUUCUAUUCACUUAUUUGCCAUAUCAUUAAGCAAAUUGAUAUUUGAAGAGUAAAAUAUAAAAAGUCUUUUGGAGAUGCUCUUAAUACCUACAACAAAGAGUUUAAGGAUAUUUAUAGUAACUUAGAACUAAUAUAAACCAUACAAAUAUUAAAUUACAAAAAUUUAACAACCACAUUUUACAAAUAUCUCUAAAUAUUCAAGAAAAAUUUAAACUUAGAUAUUUCUACCACCAUUAAAUAUUUUUAACUUAGAAAUAUCUUGCAUUCUCUACACUAUUCUUAAAUCUUCCAUGUAUUGAGCUUUAAACUUAGGUUUUAUAACACCCCAAAAAUUACCCAUGAAAAUACAAGGGUAAAAUUGAAAUGAAACUUUACAUCAUUUAUUCUUAUUAAUAAAUCUCAAGAUAGACAAUCAUUAUUCAUACUCCAACUGAAUCCUUACAUAAAACAUCUGAAAUAAAGUCCCCAAAGAAAAGUCUCUAAUCCAAAAUAAAAAGUCUAGCCAAAUUUAAUCUUUAAAGCAACUCUAAAGAUCCACUAAGAAAAUUCUCCAUCUAAGAACCCAAGCCACAUCUCUAAUCAAUCUGUAAAAUAUUGGAGACGAGGGGUGAGCCGUCAACUCGGUAAACAAAUCCAUGCACGAUAUUUGAAAACCUUGUCAUUUUACCCUUAAACAUUUUAUAACAACAUCUUCAUUUAGCAUAAAGGGUGGAUUCAUAUAAAAGCAUUAAAAGCAUUAAAAACAUUAAAACAUUCAUAAAAACAUUACAACAUAAACAUUUGGUAGCUCAUGCCUCGUAGUCAUCAUCAUUCAUCAUUCAUCAUUCAUCAUUUAGGGUGUUAUACCCCGCAUUGUUCCUCAUUCAGGGUACUAUACCCCGCAUUGUUCGUAACAUCCUUAUGGACAAGAUCAUCAUCAUACUAGCAAGCUGGCCAUAACAUUACAUAACAUCAUAACAUUUGCAUUAUAUACAUUACUAUGGACUAUGAGCCAAAACAUUUUUGAAUCCACCUUACAUCCUUUCAUAAAUAACAUUUAAAGUCUUCUAAAACAUUUAAGACCCUUUCUUUGAUCAUUUAAUUCUUUCAGAAAUUCUUUAAGAAAACACUUUGUUUAAGAAAACUAAUUUCUUAAGAAAAAUUAAUUUUAAAACACAUUUUUAUAAAUUCAUUUUAAAGUGCUUUUAUUUUACAAAAUUCAUUUAAAUAUUUUAGAAAUCAAUUUUGUAAAAAUUUUCAUUUAAACAUAAAUUGCAUUCAUUAUAAAGCGCAUCAUGCAUUAAUCUACUUACCUCGAUCCAUAGCAAUCAAUUCAAUACCUCGAGAACAACCAACGAGCUCACCCACCUCCUAUAAUCAUCAUAAAAAUAUUCAUAUCAAUAUAAUCUCUAACCUUAAAUAUAAUCUCAAUCAUCCUUAAAUCAUAGGCACUUAUACUAGCUUAAUACUUAUACAUAUUCUAGAUGUAUCCUAUACUUAUGAGUAUCCUGCACAUGCUGAUUUUUAAUAACCUAUACACAUGUCGGAAAACCAUGCAAAUUUACAGAGGCACUGUGAACAUGCAUAGCAUUGCAUACAAUAUUUCACAAAAAUCAGCACAAGUCAAAAUCGAGUCAGAAUAUUGACCUUUCACCAAAGUAACAAAACUGUCCAGCAUUGACCAAAACAGACCUUUACCACUUAAGCAAUUCAUAAAAUAUUCUUUAGUACUCGAAAUAAUAUGUUUAUUUUUUUUAAUUACAGAAGACCCAUUCAGAAAGCAUGUAAUUAAAAUUCAUAAUUUUUGGACUCCUUAAACUAUUUUAAAACGUUUUAUUUUCAAGAAGAUUUAACCCGUCCAGAAAAUUCCAGAUUUGAAAACAGAAUUUCAAAAAUUCACAUCUUUUAUUUUACACGCCCAAAAAUCGUGAUUCCAGUUUUUAAAGAUAGAGGAAAUAUUGAAAUUUCAUUAUAAAAUCCUAAAAUGGCAUGUAAUAUUCAUAAAUUAGCCCAACAGUUACAUGUUUCAGCUUCUGAAAUUUUGGAAAACAGUUUUUAGAUCUGCAACAGCCGCAUGUUACGAUUUUUAAUAAUUUAACCAUACUGAAUGAAAUUACGAAAUUAGACACGCAAUCAUAUUAGACAUAGACCUGUUGAUACAAAAAUCGCCAUAAUUUUUGAAGGAUGUGUAACCUUAUGGAAAAUUUUCCCAAAGUGAGGUUUUCAACACAGAACCUAUCAAUGGAAAGCUUAGGAUGUCUAGUUCCAUGAUAUGUAAGCAUAUUCACGUGAUUCUAAAUAAAGAAUAGAGACUGUUCAUAUCAUCACACCAUUACAAACACACAUAUAUUACCCAAAUCACAGUACAAGUAAUUAAAGGCAAACAAUUCAUAAAAAUAAAUCAUAUAAGUCAAAGAAAUACUCAAUACCUUAAGGCAAACACUAAGAAAAGAAGUUAUAAAACCUUCUUUUCCUUCUCCAAAGACUUAUGUUUCUUUCUUUUCUUUCUAGGGUUUGUAACGGUAUAGAAAAUAAAAGAUGGCUUCUUAAAAAAAUGGCUUCCUCUUAAAUAGUUAAAAAUUAAUAAAUAUUUUUAAAAAAACUAAUAACUCAUGUAACUUAUUUAAAGCAAUUUGAUAAAUUUUACUCGCACACAAACACUCAAUAAUAAUUAUCCUACUCAAUUUAAUAAGGGUAAAAGAGGAAAAAUAAAUAAAUAAAUAAAUAAAAGUGGGCGUUACAGGUUUGGACAAAUGAAGUUGGAUUGGAUCAUAAAAUUGGUGUUGGACUUUUAAUACUCCCCCUCAACAUCGACAUUCAUGCUUUGAUCCAUAUAAAGCUACUGGCAAAACUCUUCAAACUUCUCGGGUACUGAGACCUUUUGUAAAUAAGUCCGCAAUUUGACUGUUCAUCUUGACGUAUGUAUCGCGUUUCAACUUCAUUUUGCAAGACCUUUUUCCUGAUGAAAUGAUAGUGCACCUCCACAUGUUAGUUCUUGCACAAAAAAACUGGAUUUUCCCCCAAGUUAAUUGCCAAUUGAUUAUUGCAAUACAAUGGUCCUAUAUAGUCUACUGGUUGGUGUAGAUCCUUCAUCAACUGCAUUAACCAAGAUUUCCUCUUGACAUUUGAGAUUUACUUGUUAAUCAAGUUUUUCUAAAGACAUUAGAGACAUCCUGACAACAUUCAACAAGGGAUGACAGGAAAAAUUAACAUAAUAUGAACUAUAUCGUUUCACAACAUUUACUCAUAAACUCAUGAAUGCAGUAAAUUAGGGACUAUUAUUAUAUCAUAUUUUCACCUAACCCGACCCGAUGACAAAUACUAGGCCCCUGAGUCGAGGAACGCACAUCUAAUAAUAUGUCUUAAUUACAAUGGGUUAUUAUUUUGCAAGAUUCCGAUUACUAAGAUCAUCGCUCUCAACAAUAGUAAUCCCGAGGAUAUCAAGCUCUUUUACAGUCAAUUUUCCAAAUAAAAUAACUCUUUCUCAACCCUUGUUGUGUGGCCAAUUUUUUGUAUCAAGAAGUACUCAAGUGAGUUAGAAUAAAGAAUUGGUGAUACCAACAAUUAUAGAUUAAGCUUUGCAAGUCCCAGGCAAUAUCAAGAAGUACUCAAGUGAGUUAGAAUAAAGAACUGGUGAUACCAACAAUUAUAGAUUAAGCUUUGCAAGUCCCAGGCAAUUCCCACUUGCAAAUGCCAGAGGCUUUUGAUCCAAGAUGUUUUAAAAGUCCAGCCCGUAAACGGUUGUGGUCGAGGCCUAACGCUGGAUUUGAAGUUGAAACAAAUAUAAAACUAAAUCUGAUGCAUAUGAGGAAUUUAAAGUACAAAAUGAAAAAGUAAAACAAUAACGUAAAAGGCCAUAGUGAUAAUAAAUUGAUAAUUGCAGUCAUGUACAGGUUGUAUAAUUUGUCUUGAUUAAAUUUGUAAUCUAAAAUAAAAAUGCAGAAAAUAACAAUACACCAAACGGAUAUAAUGAGUCUUAUCCUGUAAAAUACGUAUAGAGCUAGAAAUUAGGAAGAAGCUAACCACAUCGAAAAAGACAAGAUACAAUAUGAAGCAGCCACAAGAAUUGAACCUUUAAUAUCAAGAAAAAUAAACUUGUUCGAGGAAUUUUUUUUUUUUUCUUAAUGGAAAAUAUAGGAAGAUUCUGCCACCAAAAAUAGCGAUCACUAUGUCACACCAAAUUAGAAACGCAAUCAGCAGCACCGUGAUUGUCCUUGAAAGCAUAAGAUCUUAUAAAAGACAUCCUCUUUAAGCUUGUCUUUACAAUUAGUGGUUAUAAUCUUACUGAGUGGACCUCAAAAGCUAAUCUAUACAAGAAAGUGGAUGAUAUAAGAGGAGCACGAUGAGCCAAUCCAAUUAAUUUUUUGGCUUCUUGCCCAUCAAAGGCGCCGGCCCUUAUAACAUACAUAUAUAACCAAAAGAGCAAUCUAAUGAUGGACAGUUUGCAUCAGUGCUCAGGCCAUUGUCCCCGGAGUGUUAUCCUCUAUUCCCAACAAAGAGGGGAGGAAAGUAUCAUUAAAACGCUACUUCCCUUAUAUACAUUUUAUAAUGAUAAUAAGAUACUCCUCAUAUAUGAAUUUCAUAAUGGCAUUUAUUUAGGCUCAUCAUAAUCUUUUAAACUUAUCAAUCUUUGCAGUCAAGGCAUUGUUGACGAAAUCUAGCACACCUUGCCGCCAUUCUUUUGUAUCAAUCUGUACAGCGGCCAAUAAAGACCAAGAUUAUCUCAUAAAAGAAAAAAAAGUACAUAUUAUUGUUUUGAGUAUUAUUAUAAUCACAAACUUCUAAGUUGACAAAUUAACGUGUCAUAUAACCCAUAAGAAACACCACAUGAUCCUUUUGCAUGAAAAAAGCGGAGAAAAAGGGGAAACUUUCCAAAAGAAACAAACAAGUCAAAUUGAUAUCUUAAUUGCUCAAUAUUGCAAGUGCCUUAUUUGAAGCAACUUAUAUAUGCUUAAUCAAACUUAUUUAUUUAUUUAUAUAUGAAAAUAAAAAUAAAAAAUUGAAAUUCUUGUGCUUAAUCAAACAAUUAUUUGUCAUAAUUUUGAACCAAUAAAUUACCCACAAUGAUCAUUUUGCCAAAAGGACUUGCGAAAACCCACUAACAGUACCACAAUCGUGCAUUCAAGAAGGAAUUUCUAGGAAUGGAUAAUCCGUAUACCCAACAACAGGAUCAGGAAGGUAAAACGUGCUUCGAUUGUAUUCAUUCAAAGGUGCAAUUCUAAAAGCGCUUCGGCAAAACAUAUUUUAUGCCAACUCUAACAUUAGCUAAAGGCGCUUCGGCAAAGGCGGAUUAGCCAAAAGCAACCAAAUCCGUGCAAUUCUUGGCAACUGCUAUGUUCCCAUCAUCUCUAGUGUAUCCUCCAACAGAAAUUAAAGUGCCCACAAAAGCGCUUCUCAUGCGCAACAAACUGUGUGUGGUUUCGUACUUAUCAUUGAGUUUAAUCAUCCGCGGCUCGAUUACGUGCAGAUAAAGAAGCUUAAAUUUGUUAAGUGCUUUGGCCAUUACAGGCCAAGUGCUUCAGGAUUUGAGUCUCCUGCUUCCAUGUAAUCAGCAUAAGGUGAUAGUCUCAUGCCAACUCUUUCAGCUCCGAUUUCAUUAACAACAGCUUCAACAACUUCCAGGGCGAAUCGGCAUCGGUUUUCAAGGCUUCCGCCGUAUUGAUCUGUCCUGUCAUUUACUUGAUCUUUCAUGAAUUGAUCAAUCAAGUAUCCAUUUGCUCCAUGAAUUUCAACCCCAUCAAUGUCAAAAAGGUAAAGCGGUGGGCACUGUUUGUGGCCCACCGAAAACGUAAAAGAAAGAAGAAAAAAGAGAAGAAGAGAAAGAAAAAAAGAAGAAGAAACAAAAGAAAAAGAGGCGGGCCGCGUGAAGGAAAAUAAUAAAAUAAUAAACUGUACAGUAGCCAAGUUUAGCUAUAAAAGGAGGAUGCUCCUCCUCUUUUCUUAUCCAAUUAUCAGUUUCUCUUCUUCAUUUAGAGAGUGCUUUUAAAGAGUUUAGUGAUUUAAGAGUUUGGGUGUAUUUGGGGUUUGGGUGAGAGAAAUUAUUUUUGAGAGUGUGGUUGUAAUAAUUUUCCACAUAGGGUAUGUUUGGCAGCAUGUAUUAAGCGGGUAUGUAUUGCACUUAUUUUUUUAACCCACGUUUGGUAAAAUUAUUCAACUGGUAUGUACUGUAUAAAAAAGUAAAAUUAAUACAUAUUUGGGUGUGCAAUAAAGACCCGUACCAACCCCCAGGUCUUUAUUAGCUUGGUCAAUAAAGUAAAAAGAAAAAGUAAAAGAACCCAAAAGUCCAUAACCCAUAUCAUCUUCUUCUUCACUUCUGAAAACCAUACGAACAACUUUUUACCAAAUCCUUUUGAUGCAGGUAAUUUCAACACUUAACUUUAACAAAUCUUUAUUAACCAUUCAAAUAUUAACUAGAUCCAUAUUAAUUUCAAAGGAAACUUGGUCUUGCUCCCAAGUUCCUAUAAAAACUUUCAAAAGUUUUCUGGGUUCUCCUUCAUUUGCUAGGUAUGUUUUGCUCAGAUUUUGUUUAGAUACAUAAUAAAUAUCAUGCAUUAGUCAUUCGGAAAAAGUGAAAUAGUUGACAUUUGUUCAUUGAUUUCGUUAUGUUAUUAUUGGGAAAUGCCCAAGGUAAUAAAGAUGUAAUUAAUUUAUUAUUGGGUACAAAAGUCUCAAUAUCUACUUGUUUUUGUUUUUGUUUCUAUUUACGAUAUUUGGAAGUUCUGAUUUGAUAUUUAUGUUUUAUUUCUCGUGAGUUCUAGCACUAAUGCUCUUAUCUAACAAUUGGGAAAAGAGCUGAGAUUCUGUAAAUAGUUUUUUUUUCAUGUUUUAGGAUUUGUUAGUAAUUGAUGUUUUUUUAAUUAUCUAUUUGUUUUUAGAUAUGGAAAGAAGAAGAAAAUUUGCCCUUUACAGAUUAUUGACCAACUGGCACCUACAAUUAGUGUUCUUAUCCAUAAUGAUAUAUUUGUCCUUGUUGGAGUUGAUUAAGAAACGCAAUGAAAGGAAAAUGAUUCGUAGUCAAUCAUUCAUAAACCAUGCUAGUCGGUUGCAUUACCUAGAUAGCAUAAUAGGCAAUGGUGACUUACAAUGUGUGCAUCAACUAAGAAUGGAUAGACGAACAUUUGGUUUAUUAUGUGAGUUAUUUCGAUCCAGAGGAAAGGCAAAGGCUGAUGGUUUGGUGACUGUUGAAGAGCAAGUUUGCAUGUUUUUGCACAUUCUAUCUCACCAUGUUAAGAAUCGCACAAUUAGUAGUAGGUUUUUCCGAUCCGGUGAAACUGUUAGUAGAUACUUCAACUCAGUGUUAAAAGGAGUCUUACGGUUACAAAGUCUCUUACUAAGAGCACCGAAACCUGUGCCAGAAAAUUAUACUGAUGGGAGGUGGAAGUGGUUCAAGGUAUUUAACUAUUUAUACUACAUUUUUUUAAUUAACCAUAAAAGUGCAAAAGCUUAUUAUCUAUAUAUUAUUUUACUUUUUAAUGUAUGUAGAAUUGCUUGGGAGCAUUAGAUGGAACUUAUAUAAGAGUACGUGUGCCAGAAAAUGAUAAACCAAGAUAUCGAACAAGAAAGGGUGAGAUUGCGACUAAUGUUUUGGGAGUUUGUUCGCGAGACAUGAAAUUUAUUUUCGUGAUGCCUGGAUGGGAAGAGUCAGCAUCUGACUCUAGAAUACUUCGUGAUGCCAUAAGCAAACCAACUGGUUUAAGAGUUCCAACAGGUAUGACUUAUGAUUAACUUUUUAUUUUAUUUUUUUAUUUUAUUCAAAUUAUCCAUAAGCUAUAUUUUUUAACUAAUAUUUAUGUAAAAUGAUUAGGUUACUACUAUCUCGUAGAUGCCAGAUAUUCAAAUGCUGAAGGAUUUCUUGCACCUUAUAGGGGAACACGAUAUCACUUAUCAGAAUGGAGAGAUGGGUGUGCUCCUCAAAACAAAGAAGAGUUUUUUUAACAUGAAACAUUCUUCUGCAAGAAACGUUGUAGAAUGAUGUUUUAGCUUACUCAAAAUGCGAUGGGCUAUAUUACGAAGUCCAUCUUUUUAUCCAAUCAAAACACAGUGCCAUAUUAUUACUGCUUGCUGUUUAUUGCAUAAUUUAAUUAGGAGAGAAAUGUCAGUAGAUCCAUUAGAGCAUGAAUUACUUGAGAUCGACAAUAAUGAAGUAUAAGAUGCAAAUAACAUAACCACUCUUGAAGCUUCAGAUCAAUGGACUGGGUGGAGAAAUGAUUUAGCAGAUGUAAUGUAUAAUGAAUGGCUUGGAAACCAUGGAUAAUAUAUUUUUCUUUAGGAAUUUUAUUUCAGUGUUGUGACAUUAUAUUUAUGUGAUACUUUGUGAUUUGUUUAUUUGUCAAUUUAAAUUUAAAAUGUUUUGUUAAUAUUUUAAGUUAAGAAUUAUGGUAAUGAUUUAAUAUGUAGCUCAAAAUUUUGUGCCGAAAUUUAUUGAAACUUAUAGUUACAUAGAUCUAGAAACAAAUAAAAAAAUAUUAAAUUUGUAUAUGAGUAUUUUCUUUAUAUAACAAGGAUUAUGAUACUUAAUAUAACAAGGUUAAUUAUUUACUUUUUAACAAACAUUAAGACAAUCCAGUACAUGUUAUAUGCCAAACACAGGAUAAUUGAUAAUAAUACAGUACAGCUCAGCACCAAACAUUUUAUAAUUUAUACAACAGACCAAUUUAAUACAUACCAUUCUAAUACAAUACAGUCCAACACAAUAUAAUACAGUCCAGUGCGGUGCACCAAACACACCCAUAGUGAAUAUUUUUCUCUAGUUGUCUUUUGACAUUACCCGUGAUUUUUCUCCGGAUUUAGAGUCUUUCAUUUAAAUCUUGUGUGUGGGAUUGAUAUUAUUCUCAAUUUUAUUUUUUUAUUAAUUUGUUGCUUGAUAAAUUGCUUGAAGUGAUUUUGGGAGGAAGUUCAAUUUCCUAACUGUGGUAUUAGAGCCAUGGAUUGAAGUUUUGGUGUUGGGCACUAUUCAUAUAGACAAUAAUGUUCACAUGAAGCAGUGGGAGCCAAUUCAAAUAGUCCGUGGUGAAGACUAAAGGCUGAUCUACAAAGCAAAUAUGUCAGGAUUGAAAUUUCAAGUCCAGUGAAAUUUGAAAUAGAAACAUUUGAUGGAAAAAUUAACUUUGGCUUGUGGCAAAUUCAAGUCAAGGAUGUGUUGAUUCAAUCUGGGUUACACAAAGCAUUAAAGGAGAAGUCAUCCCCUGCUUCCAGUAGUAACUCUAGAAAAGCUAGUAUAAGCGAUGAAGAUUGGCAAGAGUUGGAUGAUAGAGUUGCAAGCGCCAUACGACUGUGUCUAGCAAAGAAUGUUCUUGCAAAUGUCGGAAAAUUUCCUACAGCUAAAGAACUUUGGGAGAAGCUAGAAAAGUUGUAUCAGACAGAGCAUCUCAAAUCGAUUGUACCCGAAGGAGCGAAUUCACACACUGCGAAUGGUUGAAGGUAUAAAAAUUUUCGAUCACCUCAGUGUUCUCAAUGGUAUUGUGUCAGAACUAGAAACCAUUGGAGUUAAAAUUGAAGACGAGGAUAAGGCACUUAGAUUGUUGUGGUCACUUCCAACUUCUUACAAACACAUGUUACCUACUUUGAUGUAUGGGAAAGAGACGGUAGAUCUUGAAGAAGUUACUAGUACUUUACUCUCAGAAGAAAGAAGACUGAGUAGUGAAAGUACUGAAACAAUAGAUGUCUCGACUUUGGCAAUUGUGGGGAAUUGGAAGAAAAAUAAUUCUAAGAAAAAUGAAGUUUGCUGGGGGUGUGGACAAUCGGGGCAUCUAAAAAAAGAUUAUCAUAGGAGAAAUGGAGUAGGAUCAGCAAGUGGCUCCAAAUCAGAUACUGAUAGCAUUGCUAGUGGUAAGUCUCUCAUCAUCGUGGGAGACGAUGGUCCCUUGUAAAACGGAUGAUGACAGCAUCCUCAUGGUAUACCACUAGUGCCAUGAAAGGGGAUGUGUUACUGUUAGCGGGUCCACAAGAUUUGCACACGAGGCAUGGUUGGCAUUGAUGCAGGGUGUGUGGUGGAAUUUAUGUCGAUGGCUGACGAACAUUCAGGAAAGCUAACAUGAAAGUUGCACCAUAAAUUUCAGCAGGAUAUUUCGACAUGUGCCGAUGUAAAAUUCUUAGAAUUGAUAAUUAAUUCUAAGUGGUAUAGUCUUUACGGUGGAGUAUAAUAAUUCUUUAUGUUGAGGAACUCAGUGGUUAGAGUAUUGCUUUCAUACGGCGGGAGUCAUUGGUUCAAAUGUUGAGGAUUAUGACUAUAGGUGAAGGCAAUAAGGAUGGUGUGGAGAUUGAUUGGUUCUCAAUCAAAUCUUCAAGUGAGAGAAUGUCAAAAAGGUAAAGCGGUAGGCACUGUUUGUGCCCCGCCGAAAACGUAAAAGAAGGAAGAAAAAAAGAAGAAGAAACAGAAGAAAAAGAGGCGGGCCGCAUGAAGGACAAUAAUAAAAUAAAAAUAAAUAAUAAAAUACACAGUAGCCAAGUUUAGCUAUAAAAGGAGGAUGCUCCUCCUCUUUUCUAUAUCCAAUUCUUAGUUUCUCUUCUUCAUUUAGAGAAUGCUUUUAAAGAGUUUAGUGAUUUGAGAGUUUGGGUGUAUUUGGGACUUGGGUGAGAGAAAUUAUUUCUGAGAGUGUGGUUAUAAUAAUUUUCCCAUAGUCAAUAUUUUUCUCUGGCUGUCUUUUGACAAUGGCCGUGGUUUUUCUCCUAAUUUUGAGUUUUCCACUUAAAUCUUGUGUGUGUGGGAUUGAUAUUAUUCUCAAUUUAAUUUUUCUAUUGAUUUUUUACUUGAUAAAUUGCUUGGAGUGAUUUUGGAAGGAAACUCAAUUUCCUAACCAUCAAAACCUACAAAAUUGUAUCCAAGUUCAAACAAACACUUUCUUUUGGAAAACUACACUUUCGAAUUAAAAUAUGUAUAGCUCGUUUGUUAAAAUAAGGAUUUCAAGCAAUAUACAGUAUUUCUUUGUAGCAUAAAAACAAUUUAUUGCAUCAAAACAGAGUAAAACAGUAAUCAAAGCACACGCAUAUUUAUAUAUUUUACCAGCUUCAAUGGCAUUAGGAGCAGCAAGUCUAAAAUCAUUGCCAAUUUGGGGGAUUUCUUCUGUUCUCAACGGUCGAGGAGAUGACCAAUCUUGCCCGUCUAGGCCAGGUGUCACUCCCUUAUUGGUACUUGAGAUCAGAGCUUUUCCAUUUGGCUGAAAGCCUAUGUUUAAAUAUUACAAGUAUCAUUUACAAUUAGAAUUACCGGAGCCAAAUUUUAAAAAAUAGUUAACUAAAUAAAUCAUUACGUAGAGAAAUUAAAAACAUUGUAUUGAUUUAGAACCAUUUCAGAUGAAUGAUUCAAUCUAUAUUUAAAAUAAGGAUCAAUUUAUUGGCAAGAUUAGGUUUAUCUUGAAAAAAAAAAUUGCACAUUAGUAUUUUUAGUUUUUUGCAUUCAGAUCAAGCUUAAAAUAUAAAUCCAUGUCAAACUCACAAAUUGGCAGUACACUAUAUAAAUAUUUUAAAAUAUUCUCUCUCUUUUUUGUAGUUUUUAGUUAAAAUAAAGAAAAAUGUUCUAAUUAGAAAAAUUUGUCAACUACUUUUUCUUUUUAAUGGAAUGCACUUAAAAAUAAAAAAAUAAAAAGUCUUUCUAAAUUGGAUUUGGGUUUCAUACCAAAGGUAGAUACUCGGCCUACGUGCCAAAGCUGACAAAAGAAGAUUCCACCCUUCUGAUGAACAGCAUCCACAAUUGGUUUCCAAGCUUCCACUUGCUCUUUUGUCCAAAUUCCAAGAGUGUUUGGAUACCUUCAAUUUAUUUAAAUUAAGUGGUUAUUGUCAAAAUUGAUUCUCCAAAAUGUGCUACUUUUGCUACAUGCAACGUAAAAUGAAUUUCUAAAUUUUAAUUGAGCAGUGGUAUCCAUCCUAAAUUUUUUAACUCAAAAAAAUAUUCUAAAGGAUGUGGCAUUCAUUAAUUGAUUAGUGAGAUAAUACAAUUAAUUUAUUUGGAUCUUAUAAAAAAUCACUAAUUACUCAAAAAAUAACACAUCUUAGUCAUACAACCCAUUUUCUACUUUAACAAAGGAAUGCUGAGAACAUCCAUAUUGUGUUUUACAAUUUUCAUGUCAUUACAAUUUUCAUUUUUCUUGUGUUUAAAUUUAUUAAAUAUAUUGUGCUAAAAAUUAAAAAAUAAAUUACAUAAAUUAAUUUAAAAUUAUUUUCAGUAAAUCAGUACAUUUUAAUUAAAGUGUUAGCAAUUAAAAAUUAAUUAUUUCUUUAUUAAAAAAUAAAUACAAAAUCAUUUGAAAAAUAAUACUAAAGGCACAUUAACUUUUUUUUAUGAUUUUUUUUCCUUUGCUCUGUUUUUCGAUCGUCUGAUUUUUUCUUUUUUAACUUUUCUCUGAAUUUACAAACUCCUUUUUCCGGAGACAUUUUUUUGGACAUCCAAAUAAAAACAAUUGGCAGAGCCUUUUCAAUCACACUUCAAAGAAAAAUCGUUUUACAUCAUCUAAAAGUAGGGCAUCAAUCUAUAGUUUACGAAAAAUGCAUAACAUAACUAAAAUUAAAAAAUCGAUCGUAUGGAAUUUAUUUUGAUACAUUAUAUUUACAUACGAAAAUGACAUGCAUUUAAUUUUUUUUUUAAAUGAAGAUAUAAUUACAAAUUACCCUUGAGCGGUAUCAAAGACCCCAGUUGCUUCAGCAAUGAGAAAUUAGUUGUGCGCUGAGAAUAAUAAAGAAUGGCGUGUGGCUGCGGAAUGUUGUUGUAUGAUCUAACUCUUGUCAACGGAGCCAAUACUAUUCUGCAAAAAUAAAUAAAUCCAAUAUUUCAUGUUAAUUAAAAUAAAUUCUCAAAGAAAAAGUUAAAAAAUUACUAACAAGUAUUUGUGACUAAGAUCUUUUCUCCAGAGUUUCUCAAAAGAGUAAUGUUAGGUAUCCGAGCGUAUAAGUCAUAAUUUAAAUCCUAACUAAUAUGAUAUUCAUCCAUUAGAUAGUAGUUAAGUAAUUUCACAAGUUAUGAAAAUCUAUCAUCUAAUAAAUUAAUGACACAGCAAUAAGACUCAAGUUGGGAGUCCAAUGUUUAAGAUCCUUAGCAUUAUUGUCCUUAAAGAUACAAAUAAUGAUAUUCUCAUAAAAAUAUGAGAAGAAAAAAAUAGUAGCCAAAAAAUUAAGUAAACGAAUAAUUAAUCUUCGAUAAAAAAAUUAUUAGGUAAAUGGCGGCUGCUCCCAUUGAUGCAAUCUUUCAACUCUGUCUUGCCUCAAUCUCUUUCUCUGCUCAUAGCUUCUUCUACCUUCAACAUCUGAUUUUAUAGAAAAGAUGAGCAAAUAAUUCAAAUUAGAAAAGUCUAAAUUUGAAUCUCCUAGUCUAAAAGUAAAAGAAAAUUUAAAGAGAGGAGUGAUUCAAAUUGAUGUGUGCACUUAACUUCCAUCUGGCGUGUAAUUAAUAAGUCCAAAUUAUAUAUCAAACGGUCAAUUAUGAAACGCGAACUAAUUAAUACAAAAAUUGAAAUUUCUGGGAGUAUAAAAUUAAAUGACGGUCUCUUUUUUCCAUAAGAUUUCCACCACGUGAAUAGAAAAAAAAAAGGAAAUGUUCGUUAGGCUUUAUAUUUUGAAUUAAGUGUUUAUUUAAUUUUAUUAUCUAAAAAAUACCAUAAGAUACCUUUAUUAUUAAAUAUGUUACACUCCAACCCAUAUGUUUUUCUUUUCUUUUCUUUAUAGUAAUAUUUUUAGGGAUAUCAAUUAAAAGAAAAAAAAUGAUAAUUUAUCAAAUCAACCUUAAAAGUAAUAUUAAAAUUUACACAAAUUUUUAUAUUAUUAUUUUAUUUCAAGAUUAAUUUGAUAAAUUAAUUUUUAUGAAAUAAGUAUUAGUAAGAUUGUUAUAAGGAUAUUAAAAAGUACUUUAAGUUGGCUUGUAUUAAUUUAUUUAUAAAUAAUUAUUAGUAAAAUUGUUGCACAUGUACAAAAAAUAUUAGUUGUUUUACAUUGAUAUUUAUUCUUUGAUUUACUAAUAAAUAAUUAUUCAUUAAUUUGCUAAUUAAAUUUUUUGUUGAUAAAUUAAUUAAUGUCAAAAAUAUUGUCGGAAAGAUAUAAUUGAAAAAGAAAAGAAAAAAUAAGGGUAAGAAUGUAACAUAUUUUACUAUAGGAAUGUUUUGAGGUAUUUUAACAAAUAUAGAGACUAAAUAAACACUUAAGUCAAAAACAAAGGGAUUAAACGAGCAUUUAUCCUAAAAAUAUAUUGAAUAGUAUGUUAUGAAACACCCAACUAAUAUAUUUAUUUAAAUUUUUAGAAGACUAAAAUUGAGGGGGAUUGUCAAUUUUUUCCUAAAAUUAAUAUACAUCAUUUACGCUCUUUACUGUUUUUCUAAUACCCUCAAACUCUCCUUGCACUAAAACAUUUAAAGGAAAAUAAGUAAAAGAAAAAUAUCUUCUUAUUCACCGAAACACAUAUUUUUUUAAUACUUAAUUUUUAUAUAAAUGCUGUUUAUAUAAUUUUAUUUUAUUUAUAAUAAAUAAAAAUAAAAAUAUAUUUAAAAAUAAAGGUAAUACGGUUAGACGUUAUUGAUCAUUAUAAAAAUAAUAAAAGAUAAAUGAUAGUACGGAAAUACUGACAAUCACCCCUAAAAUUAAUGAUGCUCUUUUUUCAAAUUAACGAGUGUUCAAUAAUCAACGGAAAAUUGUGAGUUGUUUAAUUUUUUUAUUUUCUUACUUGUAGGUGCCAAAAGCUUUGAUCUUUUGCUAGUCGCCUGAUGGGAAACCAUAUCAUGGGUCAACCAUGAUCCAUGAGUUUGUUACAAAUCCAACUAAACAGAUAAAUUUACUUCAUGAGUUUGUUAUAAAAAUAAUAAAAGCAACCAAUAAGAAAGAACCUUGGAUCGUUUAUUGGAAGGAGGCGGGGAUGCUUGAGAAGAAGGAAGGGCGCGUUUAGAAGAAGAGGAGCUGCGUCGAGUUUCGACCAUGUCGUCGUAGUUUGGUCUUCUUCUUCUUCUCUCUCGUCUUUAAUAAUUUUGUUUGUAAGGCCGAUGCGAUGAUCCAACCAACAAGGGGGACGAAAGGUCUGUUGAGCAAGAAUAAGAGAACGGGGAGACAAAGGGGGGUAUUUAUGAAUAUGAUUGCGGGAGUCAGUUAUGUUUAAUUGUUUAUGUUAUGUUAUGUAAUCAAAGGCUUAGUGUAUUUAUUAUUUUUUAAUAUUUUUUGUACUUGUUCAAAGGUGCAUUCAGCUUAGUGUAUUUAUUAUUUUUGAACACAAGAGUUUGUUACAAAUCCUCAGUGAAUUCAAAAUUUGACCAAUUUAGUAAACGAAUUAAAUCUAAAUCCCCGUUCUGAAUUGUUAAGUUUGUUGUACAGAAUUAAUAAACAAAGAAUCAAAUCGAAUUUGAACUCAAUUAAAUUUUUUAUCUACGAUUAUUUAUGAAAUAAUGAUUAAUAACAACAAAAAUCAAGAAAAAAUUUUCGCAAAUUUCACUUUAAUCAAUGUCGCUCUCAUUCUCACUUAAUAAUUUUUUUAAAAAACUUAAGCUAAUUUUAGGAAAGGAUAAUCUGUGUAGCCAACAACAGGAUCAGGAAUGUAAAACGUGCUCCUGUUGUACUUGUUCAAAGGUGCAUUCAGCUCAAAGCGCUUCGGCAAAUCCGGAUUAGCUAAAAACAGACGGCCAAAAGCAACCAAAUCUGCAUAAUUCGCUGCAACAGCUUUGUUGCCUUCAUCUCUAUUAUAUCCUCCAGCAGCAAUGAAAGUUCCCUCAAAAGCUCUUCUCAUCGACAAUAAGCUGUGUUGAGUUUCAGACUUGUCAGUGAGUUGAAUCAUCCUUGGCUCGAUUACGUGUAGAUAAAGAAGCUUAAAUUUGUCAAGUGCUUUCGCCAUGUACAGGCCAAGUGCUUCCGGAUUUGAGUCUACAGCUUCCGCGCACUCAGCAUAAGGCGACAGUCUCAUGCCAACUCUUUCGGCUCCGAUUUCACUAACCACAGCUUCAACUACUUCCAGGGCAAAUCGGCAUCGGUUUUCAAGGCUUCCGCCGUAUUCAUCCGUCCUGUCAUUUACUUGAUCUUUCAUGAAUUGAUCAAUCAAGUAGCCAUUUGCUCCAUGAAUUUCAACCCCAUCAAAACCUAUGAAAUGGUAUCCCAAGUUAAUAUAAGCACUGGUAAACUUAAAUUAAUUCUCAAAUAGAAUGACAAUUUUCAAUUUAUCUUCUGAAAGUGUGAACACCUCAAGUCACCUCAUUUUUCGUUCAAAAGAUGAUAGCAAUGGAGGUACGUGAUGAUUUUUUUUCAAUUUUUUUAACAAUAAAUGAGAUUAAUUAAUGUUUUUAUAUUUUUAAAAGAUAAAUUGAAGAUUGUCAUUCUAAAUAGGAGUAAAUUAAAAUUUUUCCUAUAAUAUAUAAAAACACAUUUUCGAAUUAAAAUGUCUAUGGCCCAUUUUUUAAAAAAGGACUUGUUAGUUGCUUCGAUUUGUAGCAAAGAAUAGCAUAAAAGAAAGUAAAACAAUAGUAUAUUACUCAAAUUCGUAUUUCAUAAAAUGCGUGACGUCGUAUAUGUAUUUUAAGAUAUGAUCAGGGUUACCUGCUUCAAUUGCAUUUCGAGCAGCAAGCCUGAAGUCAUUGACAAUUUUUGGGAUUUCUUCUAUGCUCAAUGGACGAGGAGGUGACCAGUCUAGUCCGUCUACGCCGGGCGUCACUCCCUUAGAAGUACUUGAGAUUGGAGCUUCUCCAUUUGGCUGAAGGCCUGUGUUCAUUAAAUAUAUAUCAUAUUAAAAUUCGCACUAUUUACACUAAAUAAUCAGAAAUUAGUUUUUUUUUUUAAACCCAAAAAAACAUUAUAUUGAUUAAGAAACUGUUUCAAACAAGGACGCGAUUCUAACUUUAAAAGGUAAAUACUCUUUCGGUUCCUAUAACUUAACUGAAUUUUUUAUUUAUCUAAAAGAUGCUUGUUGAGUAUCUAUUUCCUUUAAAAUCGACCUCAUUAAUCUCUAUUUUUUAAAAUAUUUGUAACAAGAGGUUAGUUUUAUCGUUUCGUUUUUAACAAAAAUAUUUCUUGAGUCUAUUAACCUUUUGAUCAUACCAUAAUUAGAGACUCGGCCUGCAUGCCAAAUUUGGCAAAAGAUGAUGCCACCCUUCUGAUGAACAGCAUCCACAAUUGGUUUCCAAGCUUCCACUUGCUCCUUUGUCCAAAUUCCAGGUGUGUUUGGAUACCUUCAAUUUAUUUAAAUUAAAUGGUUAUUAUCAAAAGCAUUUCUCCAAAAUCUGCUUCUUAUGCUACCCUUUGAAAUUAAUAUUCAACUUACAUCACAUUACUUCUUAGUUUCUCGAACAUUAAAUUUUUUUUUAUGAUUUCAAACCCCUUUUUUUCUGAAAGCACUUUUUUGAAGAUUCUGGAAAACAAUUGGCAGAGACUUUGCAAUCACACUUCAAAGAAAAAUCGUUUUGCAUCAUCUAAAAGUAGGGCAUCAAUAUAUAAUAUACGGAAACACUCAACAGAAAUUUUAAAAAAAAAAAUCUAAUUAGUUCAAUAUGACUUGAAAAAGAAAUUGGGAAUCAUAUGGAAUUAAUUUUGAAAAUAUAUUUAUGUUUUUCAUAGAAUUCACAUAUGCAAAUGACAUGCGUUUAAUUACCCAAAAAAAGGAAACAAAAUAUAAUUACAAAAUUACCCUUGAGCAGUGCUGGAAACCCCAGUUGCUUCAGCAAUGAGAAAACCACUGUUAGUAGUGCGCUGAGAAUAAUAUAAAAUGGCAUGUGGCUGUGGAAUGUGGUUGUAUGAUCUAAUUCUUGUCAAUGGAGCCAAUACUAUUCUGCAAAAAUAAACAAAUCCAUUAGUUCAUGUUAAUUAAAAUAAAUUCUCAAAAAAGGUUCAUAAAUUACUAACGAGCAACAUUUAUGAUUAAAAAGUUUUUCAUCCAUUAAGCCGAGUUUCUGAAAAAUAUAAAUAAUAAUGUCGUCGUACAAACAUUAGAAGAAAAACUUAGUAGAUAAAAUAAUUAGAUAAGUAAAGGAACCUGUGAGAGAGAUUGAAUUGCCCCAUUUUAUAAGCAGUGAGAAGAGGAGUAUUGGUGGUGUUGGUGGCGGCCGCUUCCAUUGAUGCAAUUAAUUAUCAACUCUGCCUUGCCUUAUUCUCUUCUCCGCUUAUCGCUUCUUCUCUCAUCAACAUUCUAUUUUAUAGAGAAGAUGAUCAAAUAAUUCAAAUCAGAAAAGUCUAAAUUUGAGUCUCGUGGGAGCAAAAGUCAAUUAUUGCUAAAGAAAAUGUAAAGAGUGGAGUAACGCAGAUUGAUGUUUGCAAUUAGAUCUCCCGUCUGCUGUGGAACUUCUAUUUACCUUCCCCUUUUUUUCUUUCUUAAUUACAACAUAGCCUGGUUAUUUUAUCAAUUUGGUAAUAUGAUUUUUGCAUCAUAUAUAUAUUGCAAAUGUAUUAUUUAGAUUAUGUAAAAUAAUUUUUUUAAUCUAUCAGACAUUUGGUAAUAUAAACAUGUUUCUCAAAUGCGCAUCAUAAACAUGAAAUGGCCUCCAUUUUUUUUUUUUUAAGGUGAACCUCCACAGUAGGAGAGAAGUUUUAUUAGUAGGAAAAGAAAAAUUACACCCGGUUGGGGGGACGCAAUGAGUCUUAUUCCUGUGAAAGAGACUAAGAACUUUCCAAAAGAGAACCUCUAAACAAGUCAAGCUAUGCAUGUAUGCAAAAAAAACAGUAAAUAGUUAUAUACAGUAGAACACCUAUAAAUUAAUAAUCUCUAUUAAAUAAUAAAUUUUGAUGGUCCCAACUUGGACCAAUAGACUAAAUUAAUAAUUUCAAUAAAAUAACAAGAUAAUACUUUUCUAAAAAAAUCUUAUUCAACUUUGUGGUUCCAUUCAAAUCAUAAUUAAUAAUUUUCUAAAAUUACAAAUGUAUUUGACUAUGAUAUUUUAAUUAUAUAAAAUAUGACUAUUGUUACUUAUUUACAGAAAAUAUGACUUUAUUUUAUACUUGUUUUUCCUUAAAAUUUAAAUCUAGUUAGAUUUCAUCUCUUAUUUUUCUUAUUGCAUUUAAAAAUUCUGUGGUCACUUUCUCAAAUUAUAAUAAGAAAUUAUGAAAUAUUAUUGAUGUAUGUUAAUUGAAUUGAAAAUAACUCUGUAAAUUAAUAAAUUAUUAAUUUAUCAAUUAUUUAAUUUUUUUUAUAAUUAAUAGAUUUUAUAUGAUCCCAAUCUUAUUAAUUCAUAGAGGUUCUACUGUAACAAAUUGAAAAUUUAAAAAAAAAUCUAACAAAAUCCAUAGUUAGAGGCACCGAUUAUUUAAAUAUAGUUUUCCGAAAAUACUCAACAUAAGUUCAAUUGAAAAAAAAAAAACAGCCUUAAAAGUUAAUAUCACUGGAAAAAAAAAUUGGGAACCGUGUGGCAUUUGUUUUGACAAUAGACACCCUAUUUUAAUAUUUUCCAUAAAAAUUUAAAUUUGUGAAUUAAAAAAAAAAAGGAGUGGAAAGGAAAAAAAUAGUAACACAAUUACCCUUGAACAGUGUCUGAGAUCCUAUUUGCUUCAGCAAUGAGAAAACAGCUAUUAGUUCGCUGAGAGUAAUAAAAAAGGGCAUGUGGCUGUGGAAUGUUGUUGAACGAUCUAAUUCUUUCUAGUGGAGCGAAAAACUAUUUUGCAAAAAAAAUAUAAUAAUAAUUAUUUUUAAAAAAAUAAUAAUAAAUUACAUUUUUUAAAUAAAAAAUUCAUUAAUGCUAAUAAAUUACAAACAGAACCGUACGUGUGAGAGAGAUUGAAUGGCCCCAUUUUGUAUCGUGUGAGAAGAGGAAUGGCGUUGGCGGCUGCCAUGUUUGAUGUUUCCAGAAGCAACAGAAUAAAUUAACAAAUAUUUGAAUUGACAGAUACAAGCUCUAGUAUCUGUAUAAACUUAUACGUGUCAAACUGUGAGACUACUUGAUUCUUGUUUGAAUUUUGAAUGGUCUCAAAAUUAAUAAUUUAAUAUUUUUUAUAAUCAAGGCUCGCUUCAUUUGAAUACAUAUAAGAGGUAUAAAACUUUGACCCGAAAUUAUAUAAUAUGACAUAGACAUCAUUUGAUUUAUAUUCUAGUUUUGACUCUUAGAAUGACAAAGGAAAACAGAUGGAAAGUAACUAGCUAUGAGGGAUAUGAAAACUUGCUGAUUACACUGUUUUGCAAGCACUGCAAUUUUUUUUUUUAAAUUUAAAAACUACUAUUAGGGAGGUUAGGCCAGAUCUCUUUACCUGUAAAUUUAACUAAAAAUAAUAAAAAAAUUUAGAAAAAAAAUAAACCAAAACUUCUAAGUCAAAGAAAGAAAUAGUCUAAAAGAGAAAAUUAGCAAAAGCAAAUAAAAGAAACAAAGAAUAAGCAAGAGAACACCCUAAGUCAAAGCCUAACAAAAGAAACCAUAUGAAAGUGAGCUAAUGCCUAAAGUACUGCUUACGAUACUUCCGUCUGGUGACUAAUUUGAAGCCCUUCUUUGAAUAAGAGGCACGUGGGCUAGUAACACUAAAAUGCAUCAGCCACCAUAUUCCCUUCAAAGCUAACAUUCUCAUUAGAAUGAGAACGAAUCUCUGUAGAGUGGGAAUUGAAAUUCAUAACCAUUGUGUGAAUAUCAUCCACUGUAGAUAGAAAUAAAAUUAGAGCCCACGAAUACCCUCUAAGCACCCGGAUAAUUCAAAAACAUAGCAUUACCAUCACUGGUCAUAUCAACUGGGCUCCAUAGAGAGGGAUCACCAUGAUCCUCAAGGAGCAACAACUAGAUCAGACUGAACAGGAAUGGCAAUAUCAUCAACAACAAGAUCAUUAGUGCAAUUGUCAACUAGAUCCACCUUAUCAUUCUGAGCAUCAGAAGUAAGGAUUCUAGCAUCCGAAGAGGCACCCUCAGUAGGGCAUAAGCUACUGAGGUAAACUAGAAGACUGCCCCUAAACAAAGGAAGGCUGAGCAACAACCCCCAGACCAAUUAUUUGUAACAACGUACUGAGGAACAGUGGGAACCCGAGGCUGAACAUCUACAAUAGACAUAGGUUGCUUACCCUUAUCAGUAGUAUCUCUACCUUAAGGCUCAUUAGCGGGUUAUUGAGGCUUCAAAGGCCAAGGAUUAGCUACAUAGCAACCAUUUGUAGAAUGGCCAAGGUGCUUACAGGAAGGACAAUAAGAAGGAAUCCGCUCAUAUCCUAUCAGAAAUUAGAAUCAACUUCAUCAAUCUAAAGGCAUGGCAAUAAAGGCUGUGAAACAUCAUAUUCUAUCAAAACCCAAGCAAUAGAAGGCCUAUCAACACAUAAAGGCUUUCUUAUAAUAACAGUUAUCGAAUAUAAUGCUUAUUUGCAAUGAAUAAAAUGAACAGGUAACUACGGCAAAGAAACCAAAACAGGAACCGUAGGGGACUCCUCAGAACAACGAAAGGCAAUGGACCAUUUAAAAAUCCCCAUAGUUAUACCAUUUAUAUGCCAUGUUUUCUUAACCCAAACUCGGGAACAGACUUCCUCUAACUGAAGAUUUAUCAAAUCAUGUCGAUUAUCAAGCAAAACUAGCUGUGUCCUUUUAAGCCCAAAGAGACAAAAAAAAACUUUCUAAUUACAUCCAUCGGAGAGUGGCUAAAAGAGAACUUGCCUACUAAAGACAUCUUAAAUGGUUCAUCCAUGGCGAAACUUCAGCAAUUGUAAAUAAAUAAUAGGUUCGCCUCGAUAAAGAGUGCCUAUCUCAGCAGAUAAAGAAGGCGAACAUGAACUUGCAACAACAUCAACAAAGAAUUUAGAGGGCCUAGAGGCAAUAUUGGGUCAAAGAUGGACACAGGUUUUACUGUAGAAGCAUAUGACGGCUUGGGAUGUUGAGAAGAAUUAAGAUAAUAAAUAAGAUGCUAAAAAAAGAAAAGUCAAAGCGGAGCAUUGUCCUUAAGACUAUUUAUGCCCCUUAAAAUAAUAUUUUGGUGCAAAUAAGUUAUUGACAGAUAAUUCCCCAAGAUACAAUGACUGUAAUUGUUGUAAGAGUGCACACUCAAUAUAACAAUUUGCAACAACAGUAAAUAAAUAUAUAAUACGAUGAUUUAUGUGGUAAUAUGGAAAAAGAAGAGUUGAAGAAGAAAUUAAGAAAAAAAUUAAUAUCUUGUAGUAAUCUAUAGAUUACUAUUUAUAGAUUAAUGGUGUCUAUGCAAAAUACCUUUUCGAAUAGCCACCAUUUAAUUUAAGUCUAUUUCAACUACUAUCAACUUCCUUCAACAUUAUUUUCAUAACUACCAUAACUUCCUCAUUAACAUUUAAAUUUGAACUCUUGUAAUUUGAUUCAAAUUUAACUGUGCAGGACCCGGUAUUUUGAAAUAGCCUCACAUUCAUACAACAAUCCCCCACAUAUUACAAAUUUAAUUAAUCAUCAUAUUUUAAUUAGAAUUUUUUAAUUAGAAUUUAAAGCAUAUGUCCUGGUGCUUUUCAGGCUAUAAACCAGGCAUUGACCAACUAAUCAUAUUUCAUAGGAACUUGGUGAAGUAUAAAAUUUCUAUGAAUCAAUGUUCCCUUUACGUGAAUCAAAGGACUAAUUGUUCACAUUAAACUCUCAAUUACUUUGUUGUUCAGCGGUUUGGCACUUUAAUGGCCCUGUGCCUACCUGGAAUUCAUGAGUGCUCUAGAGAUGUUUGCCUCACUCUUAUAAGAAUUGACCCAAUUCCAAACUCAUAUAGGUGAACCUCCAUCAAGAGUGCUUUAUAGUUUAUGUACACUACCAUACAAUAUUCAGACUAUAGAGUUCAAUAAGAGUUAAAAAAAACACUCAACCUUUUUUUUCACUACAAUGGGUACUAUCUCGCCAUAGCGAGGACUCAAUUUUAUUAAUUCGAUAGUACUGCAAAACAACAGGUAACUUGUUAUUACCUCUAUGAACCUACUCCAUGGAAUCUCCAAUCACAUAGGUGGGUUUUACUAUUACCCUUGCCUAUGUUCUAUGCAAUAGUCCCAUCCCCUUCAACGUUUGUUCUACUAACCUCCUAUUUAGUGGUUUAGCCAGAGGAUCAGCCAAAUUUAGCUCUAACUUGACAAAAUCUAGGCUUACUACCCUAGAUUCUAACAGCUGCUUAAUUAUAUUGUGUCUUAGACGAAUAUGUCUACUUUUCCCAUUAUAAAUUUUAUUCUUUGUUGUGGCUAUUGCAACUUGACAAUCACAAUGAAUCGAGAUUGAAGUAAGAGGGUGAGAAUUAAUGGGAAGAUUUGCUAAAAAAUUUCUCAGCCAUUUAGCCUCAGUACAUGCCUUUUCUAAAGCAAUUAGUUCAGACUCCAUGGUAGAACGAGUAAUACAUGUUUGCUUGGAAGAUUUCUGUGAAACUACACCUCCACCAAGGGUAAAUAUAUACCCACUAAUAGAUUUAGUUUCAUGGGAUUCAGGUAUCCAGUUUGCAUCACUAUAGCCCUCUAAUACUGGCGGAGAUGUAUCAUACAUAAGCUCAAAAUUCAUUGAGCCUUUCAAAUAUCUUGCAAGUCUAUCGAAGGCAAUCCCAAUGAUCCUUGUUAAUAUUUUGAGUAUAUCUACUCAAUCAACCAAUGACAUAAACAAUGUCUGGCCUUGUACUAUUCAUUAAGUACAUGAGGCUACCAAUAAUUUGGGCAUAUCUUGUUUGGCUAACACUAUGUUCAUUAUUUUUCUUAAGUUGGGUAUUUGCAUCAUAUGGCGUAGAUACAGAUUUGCUCUAGUAAUACCUAAACUUCUUUAAAAAUUUCUCAACAUAGUGCUCUUGUGAUUAUCUAAAACAAUAAUUUGUUUUAUUUAUUUUUAUUCCAAGUAUAACAUUUGCUUCUCCCAUAUCUUUCAUAUCAAAAUUAAAAGCAAGUAGCAUUUUAGUUUCAUUAAUCACAUUUAUACUUGGACUUAAGAUAAGCAUAUCAUUAACAUACAAACAAAUGAUCACAUAUAGAUUAGUAUCAAAAGAUUUAUAAUAUACACAUUUAUUUGAAUCAUUGAUUCAAUAUCCAUUUGAUACUAAUACAUGAUCAAAUUUCUCAUGCAACUGUUUUGGCGCUUGUUUUAAGCCAUAUAAUGACUUAAUUAGCUUGCAAACCUUAUGCUCUAUACCUGGAAAUAUACAACUUUCAGUUUGCAUCAUAUAUAUUUCUUCAUUAAAUCUCCAUUUAAAAAUACAGUUUUUACAUCCACUUUAUGAAUAUACAAAUUGUGUAUUGCAGCUAAUGCAAUCAAAACUCUUAUAGAUGUAAUUUGUGUUACAGGAGCAUAAGUAUGAAAAUAAUCUAUGUCUUUCUUUUGAGUAAAUCCUUUGGCAAUUAAUCUUACCUUAUAUUUGUCAAUUGAUCCAUCGGCCUUUAAGUUCUUUUUAAAUAUUCAUUUACACCCAAUUGGCUUGACACCAGGAGGUAAGUCAACAAUUUCCCAUACAUGAUUACUCAUAAUUGAAUCCAUCUCAUUAUUGAUAGCCUCUUUCGAAUGGAGCAUCAUGAGAAGUCAUAGAUUCCUCAAAUGUUUGAGGGUCAUUUUCAGUUAAAAAGACAUAGAAAUCACCACCAAAAUCAGUAGCUUUUCUUAUUCUUUUACUUCUCCUUAAUUCAAAAUAUGAACUUUCAGGAGAAUUACUCUGUAAAUCGACUUUAGGUAAUGUUGUGUCUAUAUGCACUUUCUUAGGAAAAACAUAUUCAAAGAACUCGGCAUUUUAGACUCAAUAAUAGCAUUUAGAUCAAAUACUUUAUUUUUAUCUUCAAGCACCAAGAAUCUAUAUAUGGUGCUAUUUUGAGCAUAUCCUAUGAACAUACAAUCAACAGUUUUAGGUCAUAUCCUGCUUCUUUUAGGAUAGGGUAUUACGACCUUUGCAAGGUACCCCCACACUUUGAGAUAUGAUAAAUUAAGCUGAAAACCUCUCCAUAACUCGUACAGGGUCUUGCCAGUUUUCUUGUAUGGAAUUUUAUUUUGUAGGUGACAAGCUGUAAGAAUAGCUUCAAAUUCAUAGGAGCCCCAGAACUUACAAGCAUUGCAUUCAUCAUUUCUUUUAGAGUUAUAUUUUUCCUCUCAACAAUCCCAUUUGAUUUAGGUGAAUAAGGAGGUGUAAUUUCAUGAAUAAUGCCAUGAUUCUCACAAAAGGCAUUGAACAUGUUAGAUUCAUACUCCCCUCCUCUAUUAGUUCUUAAUUUUUUUAUUUUCUUCCCAAGUUGAUUUUCAACUUCAUUUUUAUAAAUUGAGAACUUUUCACCCACUUCAUCUUUAUUUCUCAAUAAAUACACCUUAGUAUAUCUUGAUAAAUCAUCAAUAAAGGUGACAUAGAAUCUUUUACCUCCUCUGGUCAUGGUUUGUUUUAAAUUUCCAAGGUCAUUGGGAAUUAAAUUGAGAAAUUCAAUUUUCUCUUAAGAAUUAGGUUACAUGUCCUUUAUGUGGACUUAGACUCCAUACAUAUAUCACAUUUUCCUAUGUUUGAUACACUAAUAUUAGAUAGUAAGCCAAUAUCUUUUAUUUUCUUUAAAUAAGAAAAACUCACAUGGCCUAAUCUACCAUGCGAUAAAUCAACAGAGUCAACAAUAUAAGAAGGAGAGACUUUAUUAUUAAUAAUUAUGUCAAGUACAUUAAUCUUGAACAAAUCACCAAAGCAUUAUCAUUUCCAACAAAAACCCUAUUUUUAGUCAUUACAAUUUUAUCUCCUUCAAAGCAGACUUUUACACCUGCUUUCCCAAGUACAAAUACAUAAAUUAAAUUAUAUCUAAUAUUGGGAACAUGUAGUACAUUGUUCAGUGAAAGGAUUUUUCCAUAAGUCAAUUUUAGAAGAAUUUUCCCUUUUCCCAUAACUGGAAUAGAGUGGGAAUCACCAAGAUACACUUGUUCUUCUCCAUCACUCAAUUAAACAUACUCAAAUAAAGAAUUUAUGUCACUACAAAUGUGUUUGGUAGUGCCAGAAUCCAUCACCCAUUCUUUGUUUUCCUCAGCAACAAUCAUGUUCGCUUGAGAGAUCACCACAGUGGCAAUAAUAUCUUCCCCAUUGACCAAAUGGCCUUAGGAGGCUUGUGAUCUCCGUUUUUGUAUCUACAUUUAUUAGCAAAAUGUCCAGGUUUGCCACAAACAUAACAAUUGCCUUUUUUCUUGAAUCUGUUUUUUUUUUUUUAAUUUUUGAAAAACUUUUUGUUGGUCUUUUGAUUCUUGCUUGGAUGAGCCUCAUUCUCAGCUAUAUUAGCCUUAAAAUUAAUUUCCUUGGCUUCCUCCAAUUGAUCCAUUUGUCUAUGUUUUUCUUCAGUUCGGAUAUGAACAAUAGCAUCCUCCAAAUUCUUAUGCUUCCUUUCAUGCUUAUUAUUUUUCUUAUAAUCUUUCCAUGAGUUAGGCAAUUUUUCAGUUAGGCGACCAACCACAAAAAGACUCUGGAACAAUGAUAUUUUCAUUUUUCAGAUCAUUAAUAAGCAUAUGGAAGCCAUGAAUUUGAGAAGUCACUUCCUUAUCUUCCGUCAUCUUAAAAUCUAAAAAAAUUAGCAAUGACAUACUUUUAGGCUCCAGCAUGUUCUAUGAUAUAUUUUUUCUUCAAUUGAGCCCAAAUUUCAUAUGCAAACUUGUGCUGUGAAUAAACAUCAUAUAAUUCAUUUGAAAGAGUGUUGAGAAUGGUGCUUCAGCGCACCUUAUUUGCUUUAAGCCAAUUUUGAAGUAAUACCUCAUAAUUUUCAGAGUCAGAAUCUGGUGGAGGCUCUGUGAGAAAUUCAGCAAGGUUCAUUGCAUGCAAUGUAUCAUAGAUUCGAUCAUGCCACCACUUGAAAAAAUUCCCACCAAACGGUUCAAAUUAUUUUUGUGUCAGGUAAAGCUUUGGUGGCAGCCAUCAACGUAGAAUCAGUUACGGCAUCCAUUAAAAGAAUUAGUCUUAAGAAUGUUGGAGAAGAAUUAAGAUAAUAAACACGAUGUCAAAAAUAAAAUAAAAGUCAAGGCAUGCUCCACACUGUCCUUAAGACUAUUUCUACCCCUCAAAAUAAUAUUUUGGUGUAAAUAAGUUGUUGAUAGAUAGUCCCCGGGAUACAAUGACUGUAAUUGUUUUAAGAGUGCACAUUCAAUACAACAAAUUUGCAACAACAGUGAAUAAAUAUAUAAUACGGUGAUUUAUGUGGUAGUGUUUGGAAUAUGAAAGAAGUAGAGUUGAAGAAGAAGUUAAGAAAAAAUUAUUAUCUUGCAGUAACCUAUAAAUUAUUAAUUAUAAAUGAAUGGUGUAUAUUCAAAAUACAUUUUCGAAUAGCCACCAUUUAAUUUAAGUCUCUUUCAACUACUUUCAACUGCCUUCAACAUUAUUUUCAUAACUACCAUAACUUCCUCAUUAACAUUUAAAUUUGAAAUCUUGUAAUUUGAUUCAAAUUUAACUGUGCAGCAUCCGGUAUUUUGAAAUAGCCUCACAUUCAUACAGCAUGGGAAUUGUAUUUUGGUGGUGAAUCGAGCUUGGGUGGGGCCACAAACAGGUUACAAACCAUCAGUGUUGGUUUUGUCACGGUUUAGGGUUUAAGAUAAAUUGUGUGCAUGGCUUUACAAAGAGGCAGAUGGUUGUUGAUGAUGAGUGAUCGUCGGAGACAUCAGUGGUGGCUGGGCAGUGUCAAGAAGGGCAAAGAGACAGUUGGGCCGGGGUUGUUGUUGUUGAGUGGUAAUGAUGGAAGGCAACAAAAUUGAUGGAGGCGGCUGUUAAAGAUGAGACGCGGGCAACUGGCUAGGGCUCAGGUUUGACAUACGCGUGUAUAAAUGAGACGUGAUCAGUAGGAUCUGAUGAGGGUAAUGGCUGUACGGUGGCUGUAAGGUGGCAUGGGAGGGAUCCAGCGGCUGUAAAUCAGCAUUAAAGGUGGUGGGGAGGGGGCGGCGGCAUGAGAGGGAGAGCGAGCGAUGGUUGGCGACAUUGCAAGGCCAAAAGCAGAUAUGGCUAAGGGGCUAGAGGCAGUUGGAUGGUGGUCGGCAGAGAACGGUGGUUCCAGCGGUGGUGCCGGCAGUGGUUGGUCACCACCACCGACAGCCGGUGAGGCCAUACCAGUGGCUAGAAAGUGAAAGGAGUGUGGCAGCUAUAUGAGUUGGGAUUUUAACGAGCGCUAUUCAGACCAUUUUAGCAAAUGACCUAUUUAUCCUUUUUUUUCUUUAAAUUUUUAAUGUCAACACUGUAUUGAAUGUUACCUGGCUUCAAGUUAAUUAAACUUAUGUAUGGACAAAUAACCUUAGUAACUUACAUUAAAUAUUACGUACAUUAAAUAAAUUGACAAAUUAACUAUUAGUUGUUCAACAUAUUUCACAAUUUCUCUUUUAUUAUUUAUUAUAUUUCUAGUCAUUCAAUUAAAUCUAACAACCUCCUCCGACAAAUGUUUGUUACCUCAUCAUGUAACUUAACCGUAGCCAUAGACAAAUUACAGCUAAUUAAUAAUACUUCCUGCACAUUCUGUUAUGCUUGCUGCAUGCUCCAAUCAGCUGCUGCUACUCCUUGCUAACUACUACGUUCACUAGUUCAAACUUGAUUAUUUCCCUCCAAAGUGGAAUUAGAUUCAUGCAUCAUUUUUCAAGUACUGUACCUUCAAGCCCAGUGUCUAUUAUGAAAUUGAGGGCCCAUUAGCUAUUGUAGUUAGACAGUUCUAAUUUAAAAAUUAUAAUUUUACAGUUUUUGGUAGUAAACAUAUUAUAAAAUUAAGGACUUAUUAAUUAUUGUAGUUAGACAGUUGUAAUUUAAAAAUUAUAACUUUAUACUUUUUGGUAGUAAACAUCUGCUACUAUGUUUAGAAGUUAAGUUAAUCUUAUCUCACACUUCUAUUAUGAAAAAAAUUAUAAUAUUUUUACUACUUUUAUCAAAAUUGUUAUUUAAAAACAAAUUUAUCUCACGCUAGCUAUUUUCAUUUCAAACAUUCAUCUUGUUUACAAUAAUAAAUUACUCUCAAUUUUCAUGUGGUAAAACCACUUUAAAAAAUCACAACAUGGACAGCCAACAUUAAAUAUAUAAAUUAAUUAUGCAUUCAAGCUGGAACUUCAAGGAAAGGAUAAUCUGUGUACCCAACAACAGGAUCAGGAAUGUAAAAAGUGCUUCUGUUGUACUUGUUCAGAGGUGCAUUCAGCCCAAAGCGCUUUGGCAAAUCUGGAUUAGCCAAAAAUAAACGACCGAAAGCAACCAAAUCUGUAUUACUCUCAGCAACAGCUUUGUUGCCUUCAUCUCUAUUGUAUCCUCCAGCAGAAAUGAAGGUUCCCUCAAAAGCGCUUCUCAUUUGCAACAAACUAUGUACAGUUUCAUACUUGUCAUUGAUUUUGAUCAUCCGCGGUUCGAUUACGUGCACAUAAAGAAGUUUGACAUUAUUAUUCUUGCCUAAGUACGGGCCAAGUGCUUCCGGAUUUGAGUCUCCAGUUUCCAUGUAACUAGCAUAAGGUGAUAGUCUCAUGCCAACUCUUUCAGCUCCGAUUUCGUUAGCAACAGCUUCAACUAUUUCCAACGCGAAUCGGCAUCGAUUUUCUAGGCUUCCGCCGUAUUGAUCAGUUCUGUCAUUUACUUGAUCUUUCAUGAAUUGAUCGAUCAGGUAUCCAUUUGCUCCAUGAAUUUCAACCCCAUCGAAACCUGUGAAAAACUAUUUAAGUUCAAGUAAACAUUUUUAUAUAUACAAAAGCACUCCUGAACAUGGGAACUUUCGAACUAAAAUGUUUAUAUAUAGCCUUGUUGUCCCCAUUCUUGAACUGCUGCUAUAUUUUUGUUUCACGGCAAAUCAAUAAUGUAUUGCAACAAAGAUUGUUGUCUCGUUUAAUCCUUUGCAUGUUUUAACAUGUGUCAAACCCAUAAAUUUCUUCAUUUUUAAACAAAUCAAACAAAUCAAUUUGUAAUUUUGUAGCUAGCAGUAAACUAAACAAAUCAAAACAAUGAUACCAUUUUAGAAAGUGUAAACGUCAGUAUAUAUUCUUAGAAUUACCUGCUUCAAUUGCAUUACGAGCAGCAAGUCUAAAAUCAUUGACAACUAAGGGGAUUUCUUCAGUUCUUAGAGGAAGAGGAGGUGACCAAUCUACUCCAUCUAGGCCAGGUGUCACACCCUUACUAGUACAUGAAAUUGGAGCUUCUCCAUUUGGCUGAAAACCUGCUUGUUUGAAGUUGUGAAAAAUCAAAUUUACCUUUAGCUAGAAUUAUUUAAAACUAAAAUUAUCACAUACAAAUUUCAAUAAACUACCAUAUAAGUACAAAAUAAUAAAAAAAUAAUGGUAUUAACAUAAUAUGAAUGAAUUACUAAAUAUUCCGUUACAAUACGAACAAAAUGGUCGUUAAGGUUGCUCGGCUGGCAGACUAAUGCUCCCAACAACUUCAAUUCCCUUCUCGUGGGACUCACUAAAAAAUUAGCCCUUCUAUGGAUAAAUAUAUCUUUUCAAAUAGAAGUAGAAGUAUGUACAUCUAUAUGUAUAUACGUAAUUUUUCUAGUGCGAGCAUUCUCUUUUUUUUUUUUUUGCAUGCAAACACCCUUUUAAGUCAUGGGUUUAUUAGAGUUAAUUUUUAACAUUAUUAAACUGCACAACUUCAUAUAUCCAAAGGCGGAACCAGGAUUUUGGUUCAACUUGUCAAAAAGUGAGUGGUGGGCACUGCUAGUGCCGCAUCAAAAAGGAAAGUAAAAAAAAAAAAGAAGAAGUGUUGAGUGUUAGAAAAUGCAUAUUUAUAAAGGAGAAAACCGUCAUUUUACAUUUUAAGUCUUACUAACAACCCUUACUUUUAUAUAUUUAACCUUCUUGUGAUUUAAUUACAUGUGUUUUAUUUUAAUUAAGUAUUUUAUGUAUUUUAGGGGCAUUAUAGUCAUUUCACAAUAAAGGAGAGAUCAGACGGCAAAACGGACAUCACUUUUGAACUCAGGACGGUCGAAAACCUUAGGAGGAGCAUAAAAGGAAAAAUGGCACUAUUCACAUGUACGGUACUAUUCACGUGUACGGUACUGUAUACGUUACGGUUCACGACACUGUUCACAUAGACGGAUGAUGACGUGGCAUUGACCGAUGAUGUGGCAUUGACUGAUGAGGUGUCACGAUCCUGUUGGACUAAAAUUCUUAUGUACUGUUGAUGGUGACGUGGCAGCAUAUCAGUGGACGAAAAAUCUCGCGUACGGUGCAUGCAUCACACAGGAUUAUUUUCAACCAAACCGCGUUACUGUUCAAAGUCGGGUCAAACCGUGUUACUGUUCAUCCGCGUGGUCAAACCGUGGACUGUUGACUGAUGACGUGGCGCAAUCCUGAGCGUCCAAACUGUUUUUAAUCCGAUGGCCAUGAUUUACUCCAUGUAUCUAUAAAAAGGGGGCCUCCCCCCCCUAAUUUGAUAUCUCUGAAUCCAUUUUUGGGAUCCAUUUUCUGUAAUUCCCUCUCCAUCUUGUAUUUUCUUCGUAUUUUAAUAAAUUUCCAUUUUGCCCCUAGUUCAAUUAUGAGUAGCUAAUUUCCGUUCGAGCUUGGGUUGAAGGUGAAGUCUCAACAUGUGUCAUGGGCUUAAUUUGGUAAAUUUAUUUUCUCUUCCCCUCUAGUUUUUGUGGAUGUUUUGACUUCUCGUCGAUAAAUAAUAAUAUUCUUGUCUAGUACCGUCUUGGUUUCACCGGCCCCCUAGUACAAGGUUAUUAUUAUUUGGCACGAUAAGCCCUUAGCACCAUAUUGAUUAGAGCGUGGUUCAUGAGGUGUGGAUUCCCCCCUCAUGAUUUAAUUGGCAUUAAUACGGAUUAUUUAGCCCAUGAUGCAUGUUGAUACGAAUCCAGAUACCCAAGUACGUCAUUUCAAUAGAAUUAUCUUCAAUUUAUUCUCGCCAUUGCAAUUCCAAUUUUAGAAUUUAUUCUCGCCAUUUUAAUUUAAGUUUUAGCAUAUACCAAAUCAUUUCCACCAUAAAUCCAACAACCCAUUUACAAAAUUAAUUCUAUACACAAUUAAAAUCCACCUCCUCGUGGGAUCGACACUCGUCACCAUAGAUCUAUACUACAAUAGAUUCGUGCGCUUGCGAGUACAUUAAAAUUUGCACAACAAGUUUUUGGCGCCGUUGCCGGGGAGGUAAGUAAUUUUAAUUCAUAGAAUUAAUUUUUGUGAAUAAUUUCUUUUAUUUGUUUUCUUGUAUUUUUUUAUUAUUAAAAAAAAAGAAAAAAAAAAGUGAAUCUACAUUUAAAGGUUAGUAUUUCUUUUCUUUUUCUCUUCUUUAAAAUUUUGUAAUUUAAUUUUCCAUUUAUUUUUCUUUGUAAUUUUUUUUUGUUUAUCUUAUUAAUUUAAUUUUUAGUUAAUUUCUUUCACGUAUUUAUUUUUGUGUAUUUUUAUAGAAAGGUUGUAAUAGCGCAAUAAGGUUAGUAUCGUAAUUUCUCCCUCUUCUUUAUUUUUAUUUGUUUUGUUCCCAUCUUUAUUUUUUGUUUUGUUUGCAUCUUUAUUUUUAUUUUAUUUAUUUUGCAUGCAUGGUCGUAGGUCAUUAUUACCUAAUCUUGAACCUAUAGACCUUGAAUUAGAAAAAACACUUCGCACACACAAACACGUUAAAAAUAAAAUGGAUUUACAAGCACCACAGGAGAGGCCAUUUAAGGACUAUUUUAGUCCCUUAGCUAAUUUGAGCACGUCAUGCAUAAGAUACCCAAAUGUAGCUGCUAGGAGUUUUGAAUUAAAACCUAGUGUGUUAAAUUGUCUCCCUACAUUUUAUGGCCUAGAAAAUGAGGAUCCAUAUAAUCAUUUGAAUGAUUUUCAUGCCAUUUGUCAAACAUUCAAAUAUGAGAAUUUUUCAGAUGAUGAUGUUAAACUUAGACUAUUCCCAUUUUCUUUAAAAGAUAGAGCUCGUUCAUGGCUUAAUACAUUGCCUGCUAAUAGCAUUGCAUCAUGGGAACAAAUGGUUACAAAAUUUUUAAAUAAAUAUUUCCCAGUGCAUAAAACCAAUGCUAUUCGCAGGGAAAUCUCGGAGUUUACCCAGAAAGAUGACGAGCAAUUUUUCGAAACAUGGGAGCGAUUCAAUGGGCUACUCUUGAAGUGUCCACAUCAUGGGUACGAGAAAUGGCACCAAUGCCAAUACUUUUUGGAAGGAUUAUUGCCGAAUGUGCAAGAAUGGCUAAUGGCAACGAGUGGAGGAGAGCUAAUGUCAAAAAGUGCAUCAGAGAUUUGGGAAUUCUUCCAGCGACAAGCAGAUAAUUCCCAACAACGGAGUCGAUCACUUAGGACUACUAGAAGAAUUAAAGGAGUGAAUGAGGUUCAAAUUGGCGAAUCAAGUUCAGAAAUUAAAGAAGUCAAAGCGAUAAUUGAAGGUCUCUCUCGACAAAUAGCAUCAUUAUCGACUGCUAAAUCAACAGAGCCACAUGACCAUGACUCAUACUCAGAUCAAGCCAAUGCCAUAGGUGUAAUGAGAAAGCCAUCAAAUUACAACCCAUACUCCAACACAUAUAACCCUGGAUGGAGAGACCACCCCAAUUUUUCAUGGUCUCAAGGAUUCCAACAGAAUGGACCAACAGCUCCAGCUCCGCCAAUUCCACAAAAUCCUCAAGCCUCUCAGCCACCAUUUAGACCAUACAAUCAGAACCAGAACCACUCUCAACCUAGACCAUGGGAGGAUGCAUUCCAGAAUUUUAGGAAUGUUACUCACUCCACGAUUGAGCAACAGAACCGCACCAUUGAUGGACUACGAAAUGAGUUGAGAGCAGGCUUCAACUCACAAGCUCAAUCAGUUUCAAGCCUGGAGAAGAUGGUGGGACAACUCGCUUCUUCAGUUCAGACCUUGGCAAUGACUGUUGAGAAAGGAAAAUUUCCAAGUCAACCAGUGCCUAAUCCUAAAGGAGUACAUGAAGCAAGUACUAGUUCACCACAGCAACAUGGAGAGGUCAAAGCAGUAAUGACCUUGCGAAAAGGAAAAGAAAUCGACAACAAAGUGGAGAUGCCGGUGACAAAGGAAAAUCAAAUUGUACCUGUGAACGUUGAGGACUCACCACCGGAGGAAAGAGAAGAAGCCAACCCACGAGAAUACGUUCCCAAAGCUCCAUUUCCUCAAAGGUUAGCGAAAGGAAAAAAGGGAAAAUCUACAGGUGAGAUUCUCGAAAUCUUCAAACAGGUAAGUGUUAACAUCCCUUUACUUGAUGCUAUAAAGCAAGUUCCAUCUUAUGCCAAGUUUCUUAAAGAUUUGUGUACUAAAAAGAGAAACAUGCAUGUUCAAAAGAAGGCAUUUUUAACAGAAAACGUUAGUUCUAUACUCCAACAUAAAAUUCCUUUAAAAUGCAAAGACCCAGGCUCCCCCACUAUCUCAUGUAGUAUAGGGAACCACACAAUUGAGAAUGCUUUGUUGGAUUUAGGAGCUAGUGUAAAUCUGUUACCUUAUUCAGUGUUUGUGAAACUUGGACUGGGAGAAUUACACCCAACUCCAGUGGUGUUACAACUUGCAGAUCGGUCCACAAAAAUACCUCGUGGUAUUGUGGAGGACGUGCUUAUCCAGGUAGACAAGUUUUAUUUUCCUGUUGACUUCAUUGUAAUUGACACUCAACCAAUACAGGAUUCAAGGAAGCACAUCCCCAUUAUUCUAGGCCGACCUUUCUUGGCAACUGCGGAUGCUCACAUUCAAUGCAGGACUGGAAAUAUGCAGUUGUCCUUCGGCAACAUGACUAUGGAGCUAAACAUUUUCAACAUUGCCAAACAACCUUACAGUGUAGAUGAUGGAAUUGUUGAUGUGGAUUUAAUUGAAGCAUUAGUUGAUGAUACUUUUGUUUCAAACCUUAGUGAUCCUUUACAAACAUGUUUAACUCACUUUGGUUUGGAUUUUGAUAUUGACAGAUCGGUCGAUGAGGUCAAUGCCCUGCUUGACUCAACACCAUCUAUGGACACUAAUAAAUGGAAGUCAAGAGUUGAGCAACUAGCACCAUCAGAGAAGCAACUCAUUCCAUCAUCAGAAUCACCACCGAAACUCGAGCUCAAACCAUUGCCCAACACUUUGGAAUAUGCGUUUUUGGGAGAAGAAAGUACUCUACCGGUAAUCAUCUCAGCAUCCCUCAAUGACGAACAAAAAGGUAAGUUGUUGGAUGUUUUAAAAGAGCACAAAGGAGCAUUAGGAUGGACCAUAGCAGACAUUAAAGGUAUAAACCCAGUAGAUUGCAUGCAUUACAUUCACCUUGAUGAAAAUGCUAAAACUACUAGGGAGAUGCAACGUCGGUUAAAUCCUAACAUGAAAGAAGUUGUUAGAACUGAGGUCCUUAAGCUAUUAGAUGCAGGUAUCAUUUACCCAAUUUCUGAUAGUUCAUGGGUCAGUCCUGUACAAGUUGUCCCUAAAAAGUCAGGAGUCACAGUAGUUACCAAUGCUGAUAAUGAAUUGAUACCCACUAGAGUGACUACAGGAUGGCGUGUAUGCAUUGAUUAUAGAAAAUUGAAUUCUGUCACACGUAAAGACCAUUUUCCUUUACCAUUUAUUGAUCAAAUGCUUGAUAGAUUAGCAGGCCAUGAAUUUUAUUGCUUUCUAGAUGGUUACUCAGGAUAUAAUCAGAUUCCCAUAGCACCAAAAGAUCAAGAGAAAACUACUUUCACUUGCCCUUUUGGCACAUUUGCAUAUAGGAGAAUGCCAUUUGGAUUAUGUAAUGCACCUGCUACAUUUCAACGAUGCAUGUUGAGCAUUUUUUCUGAUAUGGUGGAACGAUUCCUUGAAGUCUUUAUGGAUGAUUUUUCUGUCUUUGGUGACUCGUUUGAUCAAUGUUUACAUCAUCUAACACUAGUUCUGCAGAGAUGUAUCGAGAAGAACUUGGUCUUAAAUUGGGAGAAAUGCCAUUUUAUGGUAAAACAAGGUAUUGUUCUCGGUCACAUCAUUUCGAGCAAAGGUAUUGAGGUUGACAAAGCCAAGGUGGAUCUCAUUUCUAAUCUUCCUCCACCCAAAACAGUCAGAGAAGUAAGAUCUUUCCUUGGGCAUGCUGGUUUCUAUAGACGUUUCAUUAAAGAUUUUAGCAAAGUUUCUAGACCCUUAUGCAAUUUACUUGCUAAGGAUGUACCUUUUAUCUUUAAUGAUUCAUGUCUUAUGGCGUUUGAAAAAUUAAAACAGUUGUUGACAUCAUCACCCAUCAUUCAGGCCCCAAACUGGAACUUACCAUUUGAACUAAUGUGUGAUGCAUCUGAUUAUGCAGUAGGAGCAGUAUUAGGACAAAGAGUUGAUCGAAUUCCCCAUGUUAUUUACUAUGCUAGUAUGACAUUAAAUGAUGCACAGUUGAACUAUUCAACUACUGAAAAAGAAAUGCUAGCAGUAGUGUUUGCAUUAGAAAAAUUUCGAUCUUAUCUCAUUGGUUGUAAAAUAAUUGUGUUCACAGAUCAUGCUGCUCUUAAAUAUCUUCUCACAAAGAAAGAUGCAAAAGCUAGACUAAUUCGUUGGGUGUUACUUUUGCAGGAGUUUGACUUGGAAUUCAAAGAUAAGAAAGGGACAGAAAAUGUUGUGGCGGACCACCUCUCUCGUCUCCAUUUUGACACAAUUACAGAAUCAUUACCAUUGAAUGAGUCAUUUCCAGAUGAACAAUUAAUGAAUGUGGAAGUAUUACCUUGGUAUGCUGAUAUAGUUAAUUAUCUUGUUACAGGUAAACUUCCAGAGCAUUGGACCAAGCAAGACAAGGCUAAAUUCUUUGCAGAGAUAAAGAAUUUCUUUUGGGAUGACCCGUAUUUGUUCAAGUAUUGUGCAGACCAAAUUGUUAGACGAUGUGUCCCAGAAAGUGAAAUUCAGAAUAUAGUUAAUUAUCUUGUUACAGGUAAACUUCCAGAGCAUUGGACCAAGCAAGACAAGGCUAAAUUCUUUGCAGAGAUAAAGAAUUUCUUUUGGGAUGACCCGUAUUUGUUCAAGUAUUGUGCAGACCAAAUUGUGUCAACGAAUGGGGAGCAUUACGCGAAGGAACAUGAUGCCACUAAAUCCAAUUUUAGUGGUUGAGAUUUUUGACGUAUGGGGUAUCGACUUCAUGGGACCCUUUCCCCCGUCUUUUGGUCAUCAAUACAUAUUGGUUGCUGUUGACUAUGUAUCAAAAUGGGUAGAAGCAAUUCCAUGUAGGACCAAUGAUCACAAGGUGGUGAUAGCAUUUUUGAAAAGCAAUAUUGUUUCACGCUUUGGAUUCCCUCGAGCGAUAAUCAGUGAUGGUGGUGCCCACUUUUGUAACAAAGCAUUCAAAGCUCUUUUGACAAAGUAUUCAAUCACACACAAAGUGGCAACUCCGUAUCAUCCGCAAACCAGUGGCCAAGUUGAGAUAUCCAAUCGAGAAAUAAAGCACAUAUUAGAAAAAACGGUGAGGCCAGACAGGAAAGAUUGGUCAUUAAGACUUGAUGAUGCAUUAUGGGCAUAUAGAAUGGCUUUCAAGACCCCGAUUGGGAUGUCACCCUACAGGCUAGUGUAUGGAAAAGCUUGCCACCUACCUGUGGAACUCGAGCAUCGUGCAUAUUGGGCCAUCAAGAAAUUCAAUUUUGACAUGCAGCAAGCCAGCUCAGAAAGAAGAUUACAGCUGGCAGAACUUGAAGAAAUUCGCAAUGACGCGUACGAAAAUGCCAAGAUUUACAAGCAACGAAUGAAAGUCUUCCAUGAUAAGCAAAUUAUGAGAAAAUCGUUCACUCCAGGUCAGAAAGUGCUUUUAUUCAAUUCUCGCUUGCACCUAUUCCCAGGUAAGUUACGCUCUCGUUGGUCUGGCCCAUUUAUUGUUCAUACUGUUUUUCCACAUGGGGCAAUUGAAAUUAAAGACCCAAAGAAUGGUGUCACGUUUAAAGUUAAUGGUCAAAGAUUAAAGCCAUAUCUAGAGUACCAACCACAUGAAGAAGACACCGAAAUAAAUUUGAGUGACCCACCAAAUUUGAAUUGAUUUUUUUUUUCUUUUCGUUGAUUUGAUUUUUCUUUCUUUCUUUUUAUUAUUAUUCUUUUGCUAAUUGAAAUUGUUUUUGCAUAAGUGUGUUUAUUUUACCAUUAAGUUUUCUCUUAUCAUUGUUAAUCAUGAGUCUCAUACUUAGACCGUUCCUCCUGAACUUUCUUAAACCACUUCAACGUGUCAAAACUCAUCUCAAAAGGCAGAUUCAAUUUUGUAAAACACAACGCAUUUGGGCUCUACAGCCACCAGAGUUAGUAGCCUAUGUUGAGGGUUUAGAAAGCCAACUCAGAGACAUUGAGAGAAGUGUUUACGACAUCCAGUUGGAGCUUGAGGUAAAUUCAAUAAGAGGACGAUUUUAAUUUUCUUUGUGUUUUAAUUUGUUUUUCUGUUUGUGUGCUUUAGUUUGUUACCCCGGUGAAGUGGCGGAUAACGGUACUCCGUGACAAUCAAGUCGGUUACUUCAGUUUCCCAUAAUAACUGAUAUUCUGAGGCGAAGGUAUGGACAGAAACGAGAUUCUAGCGAAGCUUCACAAGCGAUUCCCUUCACUUCCUCAGAAUGCCCUCCUUACGAUCUAUAAAGCUCGGUCCGAACGCAUGCGAUUACUCAUGAGGAAUAACAUACCUGCUGACAUCCGUUGGUUAAUCGAGGCUAAAGUACGAUCGGCAGGUGAGUUACCUCCAAAAUUUAUUGCAUACAUGCCUGGUUGUGGUAAAGGAAAUUAUGCAAGAAAACGACGAGCUCGAAGAAUUUCUGUUGCUUGUCAUAAGUGUGCCAGAAUGAGUUGCGAUAGAAACCCAUGUUCUUUAGGAAUGGUGUCUGAUAACAGGGAAGAUAAGAUUCAAUUCAUUAGGGAUGGCUUGAAUAAGGAGUCAUUGGAUGAUAUCCUUUUGUCUCUUGAAACGCAUCCCAGUGGAUAUGUGCAAGGAGCGAUUCUCCAGUUAUGGCCAUUAUUCCAGAAAGAGCAUGCACGAUAUAGUCUCGGGAAUCUGACUAUAAACGACCCUGUUUGCCAGUUUAUAAGAAAACUGGAUAGGAAGCCUAUCCUCGACCCAUAGAGGGCGUUCAAGCCGUUUCUGGACGUAAAACCAGAGGAAGAUGUGAGCCACAGUCGCAACUACCUGUUACUUUAUUGUUAUUUUAUUUCACUAUUGUCUUAUUGUUUGCAUUAUUGUCUUUAAUAAUUUUAUUACUGUUUGCUUUUUCCUUUUUACUGUUUUCUUUUUGACUUGCGAGCCACGUGCUUUAGCGUUAUUUGACACUGACAUAUUACCUCAUACACAACCAUGACCCACUAUCACCAAGACUCUUAAAUGUGAUUUCUUUUUUGUCAAGCACUCACAAAUUGUUUUCGAGAAGUAUCACAAUGGCAGCUACUCCCAAUAGACAAUUCAAGAACAUUUGUGUGCUUUCUGGAUUUACUAUGGCAAACAUAAAGAGUUCGUUGAGGCAGCCAUAGAUCUUGGUCGAAGCAUAGCAGCGAGAAAAUUACACUUGGUGUAUGGAGGAGGUAAUCGAGGGUUAUCAAAAAUGGUCUCAGAAGCAGCUUUUAUCAGAGGAAGUCAAGUGUUAGGCAUCAUCCCAAGAGUCCUAAAACCAUUGGGCAGUUCGUCUGACUCAUCAACUGGAGAAGAGUUAGUCGUCUCAGGUAUGCAAGAAAGAAUAACUGAAAUGCUUAAUUAUGCUGAUGCUUUUAUUUUCCUUCCAGGAGAUCUUGCAACACUAGAGGCACUUAUGACACUAGCAUCUUGGGCCCAUCUACACAUUCACCAGAAACCCAUCGGUUUGUUAAAUGUCAAUAACUUUUAUGAUGGCUUUAUCGCAUUUCUUAACCAUGCAAUAAAAAACUAUUUCAUUCCCGCUAAUGUGAAAAAACUUUUUAUUUGUGCUCACACUGCUAAUGAGCUACUUGAUCUGUUACAAGCUUAUAGACCGGAGCCAGACCCCUGGACCUUCGUGUUGGAGCGUCCAAAUAAUGAUGGUAACAGUAGCAGCAGUAAGAAGUACAAAUUAGAUUUAACUCUCCGCCUAUAAAUAUUUUCUUCUGUGUUGCACCACCUAGGUGAUGUCUUCUAAACUCUACUUCUUUCCUUUCAAACAUUGAGGACAAUGUUUCGUUCUGGUUGGGGGGAGGGAAUAGUCGACAAUUGUGGAAUUUUGGUUAAGUUUUUACUAAUUUUUGUUGUAGAAACUAACUGUUGCUAACUUUUUGUGUUGAAGAUGGCUGAAUAUGGAGUGUAGUGACUCUAGAAACGCAUCUUCAUCGUUUAUAAAAAAAAAAAAUUCAGACAUUUUCUUUUUCUUUAUUAUGUGUUUAUGUUUAUUUUUCUUCUUUAAUUUCUCCUCUAUAAAUAUACAUUUUCCAACUUUUGAGUCGAAGAUGGCUGAAUAUGGAGUGUAGUUCCUCUAGAAACGCAUUUUUUUUUUUAAAAAAAAAAAUCAUUUUCGUUUUCUAUCAUUUUACGUAUAACUUUUCUAAUUAGUUUUUAUGCAUCAUUUUCACAUUUCUGCAUGCAUAUUUUCCUUUCAUGUUUAGAAUAGGUUGGGGGGUAGAAUGAUGUUUAAAAAAAAAAUGUGUGAUUUGUUUUAACAUUGGAUGACAUGAUUAAUUUCAAAUUUUAGUAUUUGUAUUAUCUUUGGUCUUAAGUGAUGUUACGCUAUGUUUGCUACUUUACAUGUUGAUGUCGGAGACAAAUGUGAGUUGCUUGAAGGAAUGAACAUGUCAUAAUAAGUACCAAGUGAGUUUUUGAGCCUAUUAUUUUUCUUGGAGAAUAACCCUUUUGCCCACUCUUUAUACAGCUUAGCAGUUUAUUAUUUUAUACACAAUCUCUAAAUUACUUUUGAGUUAACCCUUAAAAAAAAAUUGUAAAAUAAAAAAAAAAGAAAAAAAAAAGUGUGUUGUUACAUUUGGAGGCCCAUCUAACUAGUAGAUAUGGAAGAUUAUUUAGAGCCCUAAAAGACAAUGGAGAGGCCAUCUUUGAUCCGUUUGAGCCUUUCAAGCCAUCCCUUUUAUUUAAUAUCCAUAGUUAACCCUUUUGAGCCUUUAAAAAAAAAAAAAAAAAAACCUUUUCUUUGUCAACUUAUCAUCUUGACCCACUCCGAUUUGGAGUAUUACCCGAUAUCUUAUAAGUCCCAUCACCUAUUUAUGUUUGAGAAAAUGUAAAUAAUUAUUUUGUUCAGUGAAGUUAUGCCAAAAUAAAAGCAAAAAAAAAAAAAAACAAAAAACAAAAACAAAAGUUGUUGUUUCAAAAGAAUAAAAAUAGGUGAAAUCCACCUUGCAACUUCCAAAAAAAAAAAAAAAAAAAAAAUUCUCUGCAUUUUUCUCAAACAUACACUUUGUUUUCCUUAUUUCCCUUCUUUGUUAACCAUGUCCCUAGCCUACGUUACAUCCUAAUAAAAGUCCUUCUUGAUUUUAGGGAACUAUAGUCCGAAGUAGAAGCUAGUUAUAUGGGCUAAAAAGAUGUAGUGAUGCAUAAUUAAAAAAAAAAAAAGAUAAAUAAAGUGGGUUGACUAACAUUUUAUUUGACUUGAGAUCGUAUUAUUUCUAAGCUGAGGGCAUAUUUAUUUCAUCUUGGUGAGAGCAUGUGAUAUCACUUCUUUAUUAUUUUCUCUCUCAAUUACCAUUCAUUGGAGUGACUAUUUUUAUUGGGAUUAAUUUAUUUGUGAGAGUGUCACUACUUCCAGUGAGAUUUUGGGGUUUGACAUGUCAUUCUUGAGAGUAGCUAAAACAAAGUCUACUGGGCUAAUUCAUGUGGAUGGUUGAUGUGGGUGUGAUGUUGCUUUAGACUGGAGAUAAUGCUUAUACUUUUAUUUGAUUGCUAUCAUUAAUCUGAUGGAAUAAAUACGAGUGUUUCUAUUAAAAAAAAAUAUUUUGAAUUUGAAUUUUGUUUUCGCUUUAUUUGCUAGGGACUAGCAAUAAACUGGUUGGGGGGUGUGUUGAGUGUUAGAAAAUGCAUAUUUAUAAAGGAGAAAACCAUCAUUUUACAUUUUAAGUCUUACUAACAACCCUUACUUUUAUAUAUUUAACCUUCUUGUGAUUUAAUUACAUGUGUUUUAUUUUAAUUAAGUAUUUUAUGUAUUUUAGGGGCAUUAUAGUCAUUUCACAAUAAAGGAGAGAUCAGACGGCAAAACGGACAUCACUUUUGAACUCAGGACGGUCGAAAACCUUAGGAGGAGCAUAAAAGGAAAAAUGGCACUAUUCACAUGUACGGUACUAUUCACGUGUACGGUACUGUAUACGUUACGGUUCACGACACUGUUCACAUAGACGGAUGAUGACGUGGCAUUGACCGAUGAUGUGGCAUUGACUGAUGAGGUGUCACGAUCCUGUUGGACUAAAAUUCUUAUGUACUGUUGAUGGUGACGUGGCAGCAUAUCAGUGGACGAAAAAUCUCGCGUACGGUGCAUGCAUCACACAGGAUUAUUUUCAACCAAACCGCGUUACUGUUCAAAGUCGGGUCAAACCGUGUUACUGUUCAUCCGCGUGGUCAAACCGUGGACUGUUGACUGAUGACGUGGCGCAAUCCUGAGCGUCCAAACUGUUUUUAAUCCGAUGGCCAUGAUUUACUCCAUGUAUCUAUAAAAAGGGGGCCUCCCCCCCCUAAUUUGAUAUCUCUGAAUCCAUUUUUGGGAUCCAUUUUCUGUAAUUCCCUCUCCAUCUUGUAUUUUCUUCGUAUUUUAAUAAAUUUCCAUUUUGCCCCUAGUUCAAUUAUGAGUAGCUAAUUUCCGUUCGAGCUUGGGUUGAAGGUGAAGUCUCAACAUGUGUCAUGGGCUUAAUUUGGUAAAUUUAUUUUCUCUUCCCCUCUAGUUUUUGUGGAUGUUUUGACUUCUCGUCGACAAAUAAUAAUAUUCUUGUCUAGUACCGCCUUGGUUUCACCGGCCCCCUAGUACAAGGUUAUUAUUAUUUGGCACGAUAAGCCCUUAGCACCAUAUUGAUUAGAGCGUGGUUCAUGAGGUGUGGAUUCCCCCCUCAUGAUUUAAUUGGCAUUAAUACGGAUUAUUUAGCCCAUGAUGCAUGUUGAUACGAAUCCAGAUACCCAAGUACGUCAUUUCAAUAGAAUUAUCUUCAAUUUAUUCUCGCCAUUGCAAUUCCAAUUUUAGAAUUUAUUCUCGCCAUUUUAAUUUAAGUUUUAGCAUAUACCAAAUCAUUUCCACCAUAAAUCCAACAACCCAUUUACAAAAUUAAUUCUAUACACAAUUAAAAUCCACCUCCUCGUGGGAUCGACACUCGUCACCAUAGAUCUAUACUACAAUAGAUUCGUGCGCUUGCGAGUACAUUAAAAUUUGCACAACAAGAAGAAGAAAGAAGAAGAAGAAGAAGAAGAAAGAAAGGGUGGCGGGCCACUUCGGAAAGAAAAAAAUAAUAAAAUAAUAACAUUAUUAUUUUAAUUGAAAAAGGGAGAGGAAAUGAAGCUAUAAAUAAAGGGCUUCAUUCUCUCCUCUGCAUCCAAUUCUUCUCUUCUUCUUGAAAUCCAUUUUGAGAGAAGAGAAAGCCCAGUGAGAAUUGAGUGAUUAUUGAUUUUAGAAAUUGGGUGUAUUGGGCUUUUGAGUAGUGAGCCAAAAUAUUACAAUACUUGUAAUUCUCAUUUCACUAGUAAAAUAUUUUCCUUCUAUCUUCGCUCGUGAACAUAAGUUAAAAGCCGAAACAUGUAAUUUAUGGUGUCCCUGUGUGAUUUCAUUGUCUCAUUAUUUGUCAAUUUCACUCUACUUGGAUAUCUACUUCACCAAUCACUUUUUUAACAGUGGUAUCAGAGUUAUUAGUUGUAUUUUUGGAGUCGGGUACUAUUUAUGUAAACGAUAUUAUUUACAAAUACAGUAUUAUUCACGUAUACAGUACUGUUCACGAGAAACGGUGGGAGUGAUCCAAGAUUUUUGUGGUGCAAAACAGGGAAUAAUGGUGUGAGUGGAGUAACCGUAUGGCUUUGUACAUUUUUAGGGAAGUUCUGUCACAAAGGCAAUAAAAGUUUAAGGAGUCUAGGCUUUAAGUGGGACCGUUGUGACCCCUCCAGUCUUUCCAGGGAACUUUCCUAGUGUGCAAUUUUACACAUACUCACAACUACUCAAGGCAGUACAUUAACUUAUGUGCGGUAUUUAUCAACAAAUGACGGCAAAGUAUAAAAUUAAAAAGUUCAAUGGGAAUAUUUUUUUAUUGUGGAAAAAGAAGAUGCGGGCAAUUUUGAGGAAAAAUAAUCGCUUAGAAGUAAUUGAGGAAAGGCCUGCAGAAAUCAUUGAUGAUAAGUGGAAUGAGAUGGACGGAAAUGCCAUUAUUGAUCUAAACUUGGCACUUGCAAAUGGGGUGUUAUCCAGUGGCGCGAAGAAAAAGACAGCAAAGGAAAUAUAGGAUACUUUCACAAGACUAUACAAGGCCUAAUCACUACACAAUAAGAUUUUCUUAAAGAGGAGACUUUAAACCCUUCGAAUGGCAAAAACCACAUUGAUGACUGACCAUAUCAACACAUUGAAGACUCUAUUUUCACAGUUCUCAAUGUUGGGUCACAAAAUAAAGGAAAAUGAAUGUGUAGAGCUUUGACUUGAAAGUUUACAAGAUUCAUAUGAUCAACUCAUCAUCAAUCCAAUAAAUAAUAGCUAAGCGGACAGUCUAGUCUUCAAUGAUGUUGCAGCCUCCGUAUUAAAUGAGGAGAGCAAGCGAAAAAAAUAAGGAAGAUAGACAAGCAAAUUCGUAGUAAGUAAAAGCACUAUCGGUAAAAAGAGGGAAAUCAACAGAAUGUGGCCCUAGUGGGAAUCACAAUCAUGGUAGAUCAAAGUCAAAAAAUAAGAAAAAUAUCAAAUGCUACAAUUAUGGUAAGAAAUAACAUGUUAAGAAAGAGUGUUAGAAUAACUAGAAGAGAAAAGAGGGUAAAGAUCCUGAGUCAUCAAAUGUGUAGGGGUGUGUAGCAAGUACUUUGGAUGAUUGCGAAAUUCUCUACAGGGAGGCAACAACUGUUUAAGAAGGCAGAAAACGGCUAUUUGACAUCUGGCUUAUAGACUUAGGAACUACCUGGCACAUGAUCUCUUGGAGAAAAUGGUUCCACAAAUAUGAACUUAUCUCAGGAGGAUCCGUAUACAUAAGUGAUGAUCAUGCCUAAAAAAUCACUGGUAUUGGUACUAUCAAAAUAAAAAUGUUUGAUGGCAUAUUUUGCACAAUUGAGAAGGUAGGACAUGUCAAAGGCCCGAAAAAGAAUAUGUUAUCUUUAGGACAAAUAGAUAGCCAUGGGUGCAAAACUCAUGUGGAAAAUGGGAUCAUGAAGAUAGUCAAAGGCACGCUAAUGAAGGCGAAAAAGAUCAGUGCUAAUCUGUUCAUGCUUAAAGGGAAAACACUACAGAAUGUUAAUGUGUAUGUCACGUCAAAUGGAAAAGAGUCAACAAUGAUGUGGCAUCUCAAACUUGGUCACAUAUCAAAACAAGGUUUGAAGAUUCUCUCUGAGUGAAAAUUGCUUCCAGGGCUCAAAUCGGUAAACUUACCGUUUUGUGAGCAUUGUGUUAUAAGUAAGCAGAAUAGAUUGAAGUUCAGUAGAUCUGUUGCCAUAAGUAAAUGCAUUCUAGACUUGAUUCAUUAUGAUGUUAGGGAAUCACCAAACAUGUCCAUGGGAGAUGCAAAGUACUGAGUGACUUUUAUUGAUGACUAUUCCAAGAGAUGUUAGGUGUAUUCAAUCAAGAAAAAGUCAAAUGUGUUUCCAAUAUUCAAACAGUACAAAGCUUGGGUAGAACUUAAAUCCGGAAAAAAAAAAAAAGAAAGUUCUUGAGGACAUAUAACAGUGGAGAGUAUAUAGACGACAAGUUUCUUAUUUUUUGCAAGCAAGAAGGUAUUCACAGGCAGUUCAUGGUGGCAUACACUCCUCAACAAAAUGGAAUAGCGGAGCAGAUGAACAAGACUCUUACAAAAGGAAUAAGAUCUAUGUUGAGGAUUGCAAGCCUACCAAAUUCAUUCUAGGCAGAAGCAGCCAAAACUGCAUGUUAUGUAGUUAAUCGGACAUCAUCCACAACAAUUGGUUUGAAGAUUCCAAUGGAGAUAUGGACUAUGAAGCCAGCUGAUUACUCUCAUCUACAUGUAUUUAGAUAUUAUGUGUACAUAAUAUACAAUACCCAAGAAAGAACAAAGGUAGAUCCAACAUUCAAGAGGUGUAUCUUCUUCGGAUAUGCUAAUAGAGUGAAGGGGUAUCCUCUGUGGGACCUCACUGCCUACAAGAUCGUCAUUAGCAGAGAUGUUAUCUUUGUAGAAUAUCAAAACAGUAAAAGAUAGAUAAGGAUGAUAGCACUGUAAAAAAAAAAAGUCAGAGACUGUACUGGUGUAUGUGAAAAAUAAUCUAAAAAAAGCAGUACUAGGGCACGAAUAAAAAGAACCAGUCAAGUCUGAGGCUCCAGAAGUUCAUUGGUCAACUUGUGAGAGACGACUGCUAGUGUGGCACUCGAAUUAUGUCACAAAAAUUAAUGUUUCGUACUGUCUUCUAAUAGAGGAUGGAGAGCCAUCAACUUUCCGUGAAGCUUUAAACAGCUCAGAUGUUACUUUGUGAAUGAUAGCAAUGCAAGAAGAAAUUGAACCUCUAUACAAGAAUAAGAUAUGAAAACUUGUACCAUUAUCACGCGGAAGAAAAGCCAUUGGAACCAAAUGGGUUUACAAGAUCAAACGUGAUGGUAAUGACCAAGUAGAGCAAUAUCGUGCAAGAUUGGUGGUGAAAGGAUAUGCUCAGAAAGAAGGUUUUGACUUCAACAAAAUAUUUUCCCCGGUAGUUUAAGUUGCAACAGUCAGAGUAGUCUUGGCAACGUGUGCUAUAUUUAACCUACAUCUAAAGCAGUUUAGAUGUGAAAACUUCAUUUCUUCAUGGAGAACUUAAAAUUGAAAAGGGCAAGGAGAACUUGGUUUACAGGUUGAACAAAUCUCUAUAUGGUCUCAAACAGAUGCUGAAGUGUUGCUAUAAGAGAUUUGAUUCAUUCGUCAUAAGUCUUGGAUACGACAAAGUCAGUUCAGACCAUUGUGCGUAUUACAAGAGGUUUGAAGAUAAUGAUUUCAUUAUUUUUCUAUUAUAUGUGGAUAAUAUGUUGGUAGCAAGUUCCAACAAAGAUCGAGUCCAAGAAGUGAAGGCACAGUUGGCUAAGAAGUUUGAAAUAAAGGACUUGGGACCAACAAACAAGAUUCUAGGGGUGUAAAUUCACCGAGAUAGAAAUAAUAGGAAGUUUUAGCUCCAUAAAAGAAUUACUUGAAAAAAAUCUUGCGGCACUUCAAUAUGCAAGAUUGUAAGCCAAUUUCAACCCCACUUUUAGUUAAUUUCUAAUUAUCCUCAAAUAUGUGUCCUAACAAUGAAACAGAGAGGAAGGAGAUGUCUCAAGUAACCUAUGCAUCAACAGUGGGAAGUUUAAUAUUCGUUAUGAGAUGUACUAGAUCAGACAUUGCAUAAGCAGUGGGAGUAGUUAAUCAAUAUAUGGUGAAUCCUAAAGAACAUUGGAAAAUUGUGAAGAGGAUUCUAAGAUACAUCAGAGGAAUCUUAGAUGUUGCAUUAUGUUAUGGAGGAUUACAAUUUAUUGUCAAAGGUUAUGUGGAUUAAGAUUUUGCAUAAGACCUUGAUUAAAAAAAAUCCACUACUGGCUAUGUGUUUACACUUGCAAGAGGUACCGUGAGCUGGGUUUCAAAAUUGCAGACUGUUGUGCCUCUAUCUAUAACAGAAUUAGAAUACAUGGCAGGUACACAAACUUGAAAGGGAGCUAUGUGGAUACAAAGAUUAUUGGAGGAGCUCGAGCACAAACAACAGAAAAUUCUUAUGUUUUGUGAUAGUCAGAGUGCUUGCACAUUACAAAGAAUCCAGCCUUUCAUUCCAAGACAAAGCACAUAGGAGUUCAACUCUAGCUGUGUCAAAAAGUGAGUAGUGGGCACUGCUAACGUCGUACCGAAAAGAAAAGAAAAAAAAAGGAAGAAGAAGAAGAAAGAAAGGGUUACGGGCCGCUUAAGAAAAAAAAAUAAAAUAAAAUAAUAAUAUUAUUAUUUUAAUUAAAAAAGAAAGAGGAAAUGAUGCUAUAAAUAGAGGGCUUCAUUUCCCUCCUAUGCAUCCAAUUCUUCUUUUCUUCUUCAAAUCCAUUUUCAGAGAAGAGAAAGCCUAGUGAAAAUUGAGUGAUUAGUGAUUUGAGAGAUUGAGUGUAUUGGGGUUUUGGAUACGUAGCCAAAAUAUUAUAAUACUUGUAAUUCUCAUUUCACUAAUAAAAUAUUUUUUUUCUGUUUUCGCCCAUGAACGUAGGCUAAAAUAUUAUUAUUUUAUUAUAUUUUUUAUUAUUAAUUUUCCUUUCUUGAAAGGCCGCCCACCUUUUCUUUCUUCUUCAUUUUUCUUCCUUCCCUUUUCCCUGCGGCAUUAGCAAUGCCCACUGCUCACUUUUUGACACAAUUAGAGUUGAAAUGAACAAAUAGCAGACUUAAAUAGAAGUGCAUUGACAACGAGGGGCCAGAACAUAGUUUUCAUUGAAGACCUUUCUAUUUCAUGAAAUUUUUUACUAUCUAGUCCUCAGCCUACAACAUAGUUUUGCCCGUGUAUAUAUCUCCUAAAUAUAGGGUAAAUCUUGCCUCAAAUGAGCUCAGAUUUCUAAACCAUGCUCGAUAUACUUUUGCUAUGAAUGCAUAGAUCAGUUUACUAGUUAAUUAGGAAACAUUGUCAACUAUUUUUAUGGAAAGCAUAUUUAUAAAUAAAAUAAAAUAAAAAUCUAAAUUAAGAUUCAUGUCAUACCAAAGGUAGAUACCCGGCCUACGUGCCAAAUUUGACAAAAGAAGAUGCCACCUUUCUCAUGAACAGCAUCCACAAUUGGUUUCCAAGCUUCCACUUGCUCCUCUGUCCAAAUUCCAGGGGUGUCUGGAUACCUUCAAUUUACAUACAUCAAUUGUUUAUUCUCAAAAGUGAUUCUCCAAAAUCUGCUAUUCUUAUCCCACAUAAUAAAUUAUUUUAACAUUAUUUUGCGGGUAUGACCAAAUAUUCCUUAUAUUCCUUUGCAAUAACGACAAAAUUGCUACUCGAUCGGGCAAUAUUAAUUAAAAUUAAGUAACAAGUAAAUAGUUUCUCCAAUUGCCUUCAUGGAGUCCCCUGCCAAUAAAUUUCUUUAAUAAAAUUAAUAAUCUAUUAUGCUUCUGAAAUCAACUUAUCACACUAAUUUAACUAUUUAUCUUGGGAAAAAAAUGUGGGACAACUGUUGCAUGGUAUCACAAUUUUUUCUUUUAUUUUUUGACCUCCUGCUUUCUUUUUCAUUUAUAAUUUAUUUAUAUGUAUUAUGAUAAUUUUAUUUUUGCAUUCUCUUUUUCUCUCAUCCAUAUUCAGAUAUUCUGCCCAUUUUUCUCCAUGUAAAUAAUUAAUCAGUCAUUAGUUAACAACCAUUUCAAAUAAAUAUAUAGUUAAUCAACAAUUAUCUCAAUUAUUUUUCACAUCACAACUAAGAUAAUAUGCAGUAACUUGAAUUGAAUAUUUAGACAGCAUUGUGAGGUUGUUCCAAUUAAAUAAAUUAAAAUAACAAACCAAAUUUAUUGGUUAGAAAUGAUUGAUGUCAUGUUGAUUUGUACUUAUAAAUGAAGUUUAAGUUUUGUUGUCUUCAAGAAACUAAUGACUUUGAAAUUAAAUGUCAUUUGCAUUAUAGUUAAAGCACAGUCUGCCCAUAUUUAGAGUGGCAAUCAAAGUGUAAGGAAAAAAGAUAAAGUAUAUAGUUUUUAUAAUUAUUAAUUUAAUAUUUAUUUUAGUAAUGUCACGCUACUUUUAUUUUCCAAGUAAAUUUUUAAUUAAAUUUUAAUUUCAACUCAUCACUUAUGUCACUCCUUAGAUUAAAUAAUACAGAGAGUUAGAUGUUGACGUUUAGUUUUAAGUCAAAUUUUUAAGUUGAGACAUCCUAUCCAUUUUUUAAUUGGUUAAUUAUUUACAAUCUUGAAACAAUUUGGAUUUAUGAGUUAAAAUUUUAAAACAUUCGAUUUUUUAGAAUUUUAGUACACAAUAGGGAGUGUAGUGCAAGAGUUGCACGGUAGCUAGACACCCUUUCGUUUGAUAACAGAAAUCAUAUCUUUUUCAUAAACAUUUAAAUAUGCAAAUGACACUUUCAAAAUAAAAGGGAAACAAAAUUACACAAUUACCCUUGAGCGGUGUCAGAGACCCCAGUUGCUUCAGCAAUGAGGAGACCACCAUUGGUAGCGUGCUGAGAGUAGUAUAAAAUGGCAUGUGGCUGUGGAACGUUAUUGUAUGAGAGUAGUAUAAAAUGGCAUGUGGCUGUGGAACGUUAUUGUACGAUCUAUUUCUGGUCAACGGAGGCAACACUAUUCUGCAAAAAUUAAAAACUCGAUAUAUAAUUAAAUGUUAAUUAGCAUUACAAAUUUGAACGACGCGAAUUUUUUUCUCAUUGAUCCAAGACAUAGAAAACCAUAUGUAAAAAUAAUGUUAUGAAAGGUCCUUCUCCCAGUACCGGCUUCAUUUAUCUUUUUGGUACCAACGUCUUUGGAGAAAAGCGCCCGACGUCUGUCAUUUUGGGCCCUUUUGGUGGGUCCCAAAAACUUUAAUAAUACAAUUUAAUAAAAAAUAAAAAUUAAGGAGACGCAUCUACUUAUUUCUCUAAUUAAAUAGUAAAUCAAGCACAACGUUACACCACCUUAUGUUAAAAAAAAUUUAGAAUAUAUUAAGGAUAAUAUAAAUAAUAUAUAUAUAUAUAUAUAUAUAUAUAUGAUAUGCAUAGUUAAAUUUUAUAUAACUACUAAUUACAUAUUAGUUCUCUAAAGUAAAUACAUAUAUGUCAUAAUAUUAUUUAUUUGUAAUAUAAUUGACAUGAUAUCUCAUAACUAAUUUAGAAUUUCUCCAUAUGAAGAUACUACACUUAGUCAUAUAAAGUUUUUUUUUUUUAAUCCUUCACUUAACAUUAACAAUUCAUAUAAAUUAUCAAGCCCAAAAGUUAGGUAUCCACAAUUAGAGAGAUUCUCAGAGAUACCAUAAUCAAUUAAUACAUGUAUGUUAUACGAUAUAUAAAAAUAAUAAUUAUAAGAAUACCCUAACUUUGAUAAAACAAAUAAAUUUCAAAAUCUAAGAUGAUGAUUUUUAAAUGAAAUUAUAAUUACAAAAAAUGUCAUCUUGUAAUUAUGACUUUUGUAAUUUAAUUUCAUUUAAUUUUUGUGAUUAAAUUAAUUAUAGGGAAGAUCACAAAAAUUAACAUAAAAAAAAGCUCCCUAUAAUUAUUGUAAACUUCCCUAGAAUUAAUAUUAACAAACUUUCCUAUUCAAAUUGAAUGAAAUUAUGAUUACAAAAAAUUAACAUGAUAAUUUUUAAAUGAAAUUAUAGUUAUAAAAAAGUUAACAUAUUGAAGUUAAUAUUUAUUUAUUUUAUUAAAUUCAGAGGUAUUCUUAUAAUUAAUUUUAUUAUUUUUCAAAUUUUUGUAGAAUAAAAUGGUAUUUUAAUUCAUUUAGAGAUAAUAUGGUUAUUUUUAAAUGUCAAAGUAGUUGGUUGAUACAAGAUUGAAAAUAAAGGUGAUGUAAAGUAUAUCUUAAAAUUUUAUAAUGGUUAAAUAGACAUAUGAUGAAACAAAAGUGAUGCAGAGAUAAAUUUCCUUUUGACUAACCCCUCUAGAAUCUACCAUUGGUGAUGAUCUUGAUGAUUAGAUUGUAAUAGUAACUUCUCUGAUAAGUGAUCCAUUUUUGAGCUUAUCUGCAUAAACAAAAAUGAAGAUGAAAUCACUGUGACGGAGCCAAAAAUAAGUAAACAAACUGAAGAUUCAGAGAGUUCAACAGGUAAAUAAAUAAUUAACAUAAAGAGAUUAAUUAAUUUUUAAUUUACUAAUUCAAUUUCAGUAUUAUUAAUUAAUUUUUCAAAAUAAUAAUAACGAUUAUAUAAUUUAUAGAUUCUGUUUUCAUGGUGAUUAACUCAGAUGAUCAACAGGAGGAUGAGUGUUGUGCUCGUUAUUGGCCGCUAUACAGAAUGAUAGAGAAGAAUGAUUGGCGAGGUGUGGAAGAUUUCGUCACUAAUCAUCCCGAUGCCUUGACCGCCAAGACUGUUGCACCGGGUUCAACGAAUAUUUCAGGCGAUUGUGGAGUCGUUGGUUGAUGUUGAGUCUGAUGACGCCACCUGCCUCCUCGAUAAGCUCUCGUAAAAGGUCGAUCCACAAACACUAGCACGACAAGAUGUACAUGGGCGCACAGCUCUACAUCAAUGUGCGGGAAAAGGGAAUCUAAGGUCCUUAAAAGUCAUAUUGAAGUAUAACUCUGAUUUAACAAACAUAAGGGGCGGUGUGAACACCCUUCAGGUUCAUAAGGCAGCGUAUGAGGGUCAUAAGGAUACGUUUCAGUAUCUACUAGAGGCGACUCGUGGAGUAGAUGUGUACAUUGAAUUUGGUUUAUAAAAGUCCAUUCUGAGGCUGGUUCGAUUGAGGAACCGAACCUUAGAAAAUUUAUUCGGUUUGUUUUGAUCUCGUUUAGAUAAUAAUUGAUCUUUUAUAUUUGUUUCAUUGAGAAGGAACUAUUCUUCUGAUUCAAAUCAGACCUUUCCCUUUAGGAACAAUAUUUAUUCCUAUGAUUUUCAUUUGAUUUCUAUCAACUGGCAAUUAAAAGCUGCGAUGAAAAUAUUUGGACUACCAACCUGUCUGGGAUGCUCGAAAUCCUUGGUCGUAAGGUGACAAAUGGUGCCUAUUUCCUUAAUAGAACCAACCUCACAAUGAUGGCUUUUGUUAACAAAAGUGAAGAACAAAAUUCUAAAGCAAUCAAGAAGGUUACAGAGAAACAAGGAUCGUGAAAAAUGAGGCUUACAUCAAAAGGGAAUCGAAAAACCUCAUUUAAGGCUCUGUUUUUCACCUACUGGACUACUGACUAAUUUUAAUUACAAGUUCAAAUAAAAUGUUCUAAACACUUAAGAAGGAUUAUAGAACAAUCGUCAUGAAAAUUGUUGAAUUUAAACUCGGCAAAUAACCUAGUUUAAUCCCCCAAGAUCCACUCCUAAGCACUUAAAUCUCAGAAUUACACCUAUAAAAGAUCAAGCUUAAUGCAAUUGACUCUUAACGAUUCAAGAAUGGUAACCAAAACAACAAGAAAAGAAACAAAAUUACACAAUUUGACAGUAGUAGACGCUUCAAGCAAACUUACAUCCAUUGCGAAAAGAGAAGCAAGAUUUCACUAAUUUGGGUUUUUCAAGAUUCAAUGUUGCAGGGAGUGUGUGACAGGAUCACCAGAUUUUAAUAACCACUCAUAAGGCCUUAUAUACAGAGAGAUGUUCAUCUAGAAAUGUCCACUAAAAGUCAGCUCACGUAUUUCUGGAUUUGUUAUCAAAAUCCACAAGCUUCUCGUGCAUAUAACGGCCUUAACAGCCAUUUGCACCCGUUGAUGGAGUCAAUGCUUCAUCUAUUCUGUUAUGUAAAACAGCAAAUGUAGCUGUUGUAUUUGAUAAGUGAUGCACGUGAUAAUCUCCCAGCUGAAUCACCUAAUCUCCCAGUUGACAAUACAUAAAUGUCAGACGUCCUUCAGAAGCUCUACAAAUGGCAUGUCAUACAUGCAAGUCAUACAGGUCUAGAGAAUGUAACAGGCUUGUCAUUCUCGAUCGCAAACCCAAAUUUGAGCUUGAUCCUUUAACAAAAAAUGACCAAGAAAUGGCUUGGUGGAAGUAUGUCUAAAAUGGCAAAAAUCAUAGAGGAUAAUUGUUCCGAGAAAUUGGGUAUUCCUAUGCUAUAUAUGUCUCUACCACCUGGUACAUUGAGAGUUGCAGUGAAAACUAUUGUGAUUAUGAGUGCAACAAUUGAGCAACAUGAAACUGAAGAUGGUUUAUCAAUAUGUCAUGGUAAAAAUAUGGAUAAACUAUAGAGAGUUAAAACAUAAAAUAGACUAAAUAGUCUUAACACUUUUGUGAAAUUAAUCCCCUUUUUUUGAGUGAAGCCUUUAGGUUUAACACCUAGUAUUCCUAUAUAUGUCUCUACCACCUGGUACAUUGAGAGUUGCAGUGAAAACUAUUGUGAUUAUGAGUGCAACAAUUGAGCAACAUGAAACUGAAGAUGAUUUAUCAAUAUAUCAUGGUAAAAAUAUGGACAAACUAGAGAGAGUUAAAACAUAAAAUAGACUAAAUAGUCUUAAUACCUCUUUGAAAUUAAUCCCCUUCUUUUGUGUAAAGUCUUUAGGUUCAACACCUAGUAUUCCCUCUUUAACCUUAUAAAUUGACUUACUCCAUUCUACUUUCUCGUAUGCAAGCCUCUCUAUUGGAUCCCAAGCAUGGUUUUUAAUCAAUGACUACAUUUCUGCAUCCAUGGCUUCCUAGCAUUUUUAUUAUCUAUACUUUUAGCAGCCUCUGAGUGAGUCUUUUUUUUUUUUUUUUAUCAAUUUCAACCUCAUGUGCUAUUGGUAAUCCAAAUGCAAUCGGAUAUGCAUAAGCAUACCUCUUAGGUUGCUUUAUUACCCUUUUCUCUCUAUCUCUCACUAACUAAUAGUCUCUAAUUUCUUGAUCACCUGUUUGCUCAUCUUCUGAUUCAAAAAUGUCUAUAUCAGAUCCUAAUUCAUGUUCAGCUCUUGGUUUCCGCUUUGUAUUCGAAGUUGACAACUCCGCCCCAAAAUGAGUCUUCUAAUCUCUCACAUUUGGCUAUGUGAUAUCAGGUUUACAAUGAGUUAAAUUUUGAAGCAUCUCAGACUCAUUAAACACAACAUCUCUGCUAAUAAUAACUUUUAAUGAUUUUAAAUCAGCGCACUAGAGUUUGUACCCCUUCACUGUAUCAGGAUAGCCAAGAAAUACACACUUUAAGCCCUAGGUUCAAAUUUACUAAGAUUUUGUUUUGUGUUCAAAAUAAAACAUAUGCAUCCAAAAAUUUUGAAAUAUCCAAUAUUGGGUUUUCUAUCUUUGUAAACCUCAUAGGGAGUUUUAUUGAGAUGGGGUCUAAUCAACACAUGAUUUAAUAUUAUAAAAUGUUUCAAAAAUGUUCUUGUUUAGAAAUUCAACAACACUUGUAUGAUUUCAUAAUUUCCAAAACUCUUCAAAUUAGUCUAUAUAAUUGAAAACAAACCUUUUGAUGAAAACACUUUCCAUUUUUCUUCAAGUAUAAAAACUUUAUAAUAUGAAAACAAUGAUCGAUUAAAUAUCAUGAUCAUGAUAAUAACUGGAGUUUCCAAAUGCUUAAUCAUGCACACAUUUUAUCAUACUAGUUUUAUGAGAAAUGUGACAAGAAAUAUCACUUAAGCUUGAGUUUCUAAAUGCUUAAUCAUGCACACAUUUUAUUAUACCAGUUUCAUGAGAAAUGUGACAAGAAAUAUCACUCAAGGUAGUAACCUUGGUGCUUAUCCUUAACUUGAAGAGUUUUGUCCAUUGAAUGCUUUGAACUUGAUCUCAGAUGGAUGAUUUUUAUCCUUUAAGAGCUAGUGAGAUUGAAAGAACAUAUUUUCUAUUUUAUCCUUGACAUGUGUUUUAUUAUCGUAAAAAUAAUUGUUUAACAUUUAAGUCAACACAAAGAAAUUUAGAAUUGAAAUAACUCCAAAAUAACUCCUCAAAUCAAGAUUUACCAAGAAAAUGCCAAAUUUUUCAUGAAUCCAAACCCUAAGCAUUUUCCCCAAUUCUUUCUUGCUUUACCCAUGAGUUUGCAAAUGGAAAAUGCUUUUCCUUUUCCUUUUUCCUUUUUUUUUAAAAUUAACUUAAUAACAUUAAAAAAGGGCUAAUGGCCUUGGGUUUUAAAAUUAAUAGUGUGGGCUGUGAAUUUGUUUAAGCCCAACACCAAUUAACUUUUAUAUUCAUGAGUUAUUAUACAAAUAACUUGUAUAAAUAUGAUUAUAAGUCAAGGUGCUACGCUUAGUUUAUCAUCUUAUUAACUUUUGUUUAACAAAAAGGUUGGUAGAUUAAUAAAUGGUGCAACAAUUCAUUCAACUAAAUUUUGGCCAAUGCGUAAUUAAAAAAGAUUUCCAACAAAUAAAAGUAAGAAUUCAAGAUUAUAUAAUUAGAAUUCAAGAUUAUAUAAUUCCAAUUAUGAAUGCAAAAUGGAUCUCCAUUAACAUGUGACAAUCGAAGAUUAAAUAAUUCACAUUUAUUAUGUACAUAUCUAAAUUAAUAUGUAUAUUUGCAUUUUUAAUUUUUAAUUUUGUUUAUGAUUUAAAAAAUUUGUUAAUUAAUUUAAAAUAAAAUUUUAUCCAUUUCCUACAUAUAACCAGCAACUUGAAUAUUAAUUACCUAUUAAUUAUCAAAUAAUUAGUUACUUACCUACUAAAUUGAAUCAAUUGUGAAGAUUAAAAGAUUUAAAUCUAAAGGUUGAUGACAUCCUCAUUACACCAUGGGUUUUUUGCUCCUAAAAAUUCUCCCUUGUAGUCCUAGGAUUUAUGAUUUUUAAUUUUCUGUAGGCGGUAGAAAGUCUUAUCCAUCCAUCUUUUCGAGAAGCUAUAAAUCAUCAAAUGCAAAAUCCCAGAAGGUCUUUAUCGAAGAGCACAAGGAUGGUCAAAGAAGUAAAAAAAUGAAUAAAGGAAACAGCUUCAUCUUGCUCAGUUUUGCUGCACUCGUAAUCACUGUAGUGUUUGCCGCAGCUUUCACUGUACCUGGUGGCAGCGAUAGCGGAGGAAUUCCAAAUUUGUUACAUAAACUAUCUUUCACGAUUUUUGCCAUUUCAGAUACGCUUGCACUCUUCUCUUCCAUUACUUCAGUUCUGAUGUUCUCGGGCAUCCUCACCUCACGCUAUGCAGAAGAAGAUUUUCUUGUAUCGUUACCAAGGAAGUUAAUUAUUGGCCUCACCACCUUGUUCUUUUCUAUUGCAAGCAUGAUGGUAGCCAUUGGUGCAACCGUUUUUAUAUCUCUUUACCACAAAUGGAAUUUGGUGUUUAUUCCAAUUACCCUUGUUGGAUUUGUCCCUGUCACCUUGUUUGCUCUGUUGCAGUUUCCUCUUUUGCUUGAUAUGUACUCAUCCACUUAUGGCCACAGCAUCUUUAUGUUGAAAAAAUAGCAUGUAUACAUGCUAUUUUGAGGGCACAUUUUGAGUGGGUCCCACUUAACGAAAGUGGAAAAUCUUGUGAGGUUCGGAUUCUACUCCGUUGAUACUUUAAAAUUAUAAUCUUAUUUUCUCAAAAUGGUGCUUGGGUGAAUGAGAAAUUGUCUCUCAAAGUUCACUCUUGAAGUUGGAAAUUUGAAAGGAAAUGAGGCUUAUCCCACAUGGGAAAAAGAAGUCUAGGAAUUAGUGUUUAUAUAUAAGCACUUAACUAUGCAUGAGUAAGAAUUAAAAGGAUAGAGGCUCUCUCCACACGCGCGUGUGCAGGAAAUGUAAGGAUAUUAGACCGAUUUGGUUGAACUCGUGUGCGCCUGCGCGUCUUGCGUACGCGAAUGUUAGCCUAAAAUCAUCCAUGCAAAGCUUUGGCAUGUUUUUAAUUUCUUUUUGAAUUUUUUAUUGUAACAGUUUCACGUUUUGAAUUCAAAGGAUUUGUAACAAUUAAAUAAAAAUUGUUAUUUAAUCUCUGUGUAAAAGAAUCAAUGAAGGUGAUGAACAUGUUCCCCGGCCCGUGGACGAACCACGUUAAUAGCUGUGCUCUGUGACUCUUGGCUGAAUUUUUAGUUUCUUUCCUCGUUUCUGAGUUAAUCAUCAUAUUUCUCAUUCGUUUAUUCUUUGUUAAGCAAUUAAGAUUGAACCUGAUCAGGGGUCUUGGGGAGUGUUUCUUUAAAGCUUGAUAUGAAUAGCUAUGAAGCACUUCAGUUAUAUUCUUGGUUGAAUAAGGUCCACAAGAUCGACAUUUUUCAUUCCACCAAAAGACAUAUAUGAUUCUCUUAUGUCAUGCUUGGUUUGAAGAAAAGGGAGAAGAGGAAAAGAGUGGAAUGGAGAGGAAGGGAGAAGAAAGGAAUGGAGAAAAGUAGUGAAAUUAAAUUUUAUUGUUUGGUUUGAUAUAAAAUUUGAUAAGGAAAUGAAUUAUAAUUUUUUUCUUUAGACAAAUUUAUCUUUUACCUUAAAUAUUAAACUAUUUAUAUUAGUAAUAAUAUAUAUAUAUAUAUAUAAUAAAAUGACGGUCCGGUGGCCGAUGGCAGAAGUCCGGUGAUUUUCUGGUGAGGUCCAGCGGUGAUCUAUUUAUAAUAUUAAAUCAAUAAAAUAAAAUUAUAAAUAAUAAUUAUUAAUGGCAUUAAAUAAGUUAAAAAGAUGAAGGGUAAUUUUAGAAAUUUUAGUUUCUAAUAUAAGAGGAAUUUAAAUUCUUCACUACUUAGUGUGGAAUUCAAAUUCUACAUUAUGAUGGAUAUUAAAUUUUAAUGGAAAUUAAAUUUUUAUACAUUUUGUCAAACCAAACAAUGGAAAUAAAUGUUGAAAAGUCAGCCCACAAAGCUUAUUUUCACACGGUUUUUUCUUGACAAAUUGGAGGUUGGUGGCACAAAUAUUUGACAGGUUGUUGCCAUGCAUGCAUUCAACUUUGGAGAAGCAAAUUUGAAGACAAAUUCCUAAGGUAGGUGCCUAAUUUAUGUUGAUAAUUUUGUUGGGGUUGGUGCAAUAGUGCACCCCAUUUUUCCUUAUAAAUAGAAGGCAAUUCCUCAUUUGUUAAUCAUCCCAAUUUAAGAGAAGUAGAGAGCAAUUGCAAGUGAGUUCUUUAAGAGAAUUUGAGAGAGCUUCCACUUGAGUGUUCUAGCGAGGUUUCAUUUGGGUGUAUUGGGGUUGUGGGUUUUGUGAAAUUUUCCCAUUUUUGUAAAGUCCCAUUGUUAAUAAAAUUAUCUUCCAGUCUUUGCCUGUGGACGUAGGCAUUACGUCGAACCACGUAAAUCAUUGUAUUCUAUUUUCUUUGCAUUUGUUUAUCACCACAUUUAUAUUUCUCCACAAGUUGCAGUAUUAGUAAUUUCUCAACCCACGUUUCCGCAACAAGUGGUAUCAGAGCCGACGGUUCGUACUUGGGGGGAUACGGUACUAUUCACGUAUACGGUACUGUUCACGUAUACGGUACUAUUCUUAUAUACGGUACUGUUCACCAAUAUAGUGGAGACGACCAUUUAUAGUUAGGAGACAGUCUAUUGUAAGUAGUGUGUAUUUUUGCAUGUCUAGGAAAGUUCUGUCAACAAAGGCGAUAAGAGUCUAAGGAUUCUAGUUUUUAAUUGGAACCGAGUUCCCGUCCAGUCUCCUGGGAACUUUCCUGGUGCAUUUAUUCACUCGAAAUAAACAUCAUAGAAGCUGUUUUUUUAAGUGUAAAUAGUUGUUGAAAAAACUGAUCAUUUGAGAUAAAAAAAAGAUGGCAGAGGCAUCGUCGUCGUCGUCAUCAGCGAGAACUAUUGUGAUUAAUGCAAAGUUUGAAGUGGAGAAAUUCGAUGGUACCAAUAAUUCUGGUAUGUGGCAAUCUGAGGUGUUGGAUGUCUUAUAGGAAGGACAGUGUCACAUUCGAUGCUGUAUGCAGUGCAUUGUACAACUCUGAGACCAAAAAGAAAGACAAAAAGGAUCACAGAGAUACAGUUGCAAAAGCACUGACAGCGAGAGGUCGUUCGCAAAGCCGCAAACCUGGAAAAAGAAACAAGUCUAAAGGGAGACCUGCCAAAGAUGAAUGUGCUUUUUGUCGCGAGAAAGAGCAUUGGAAAAAGAAUUGUCCUAAGUUACAAAAAGGCAAGGCUAGUUCUGAUGCAUCUGUAGCAGAGCAUGAUGAGAAGUCAGACUUUAGUCUGGUUGGCAUGACAUUGAUAUGUCACUCAGAUUAGUGGAUUUUUUAUUCGGGUUGUACUUAUCAUAUGUGUCCUAACAAGGGCUGGUUUUCUAACUUCAGGAGCUAGAUGGUGGCGUUGUUUUUAUGGGCAAUGACAAUGCUUGUAAAACCAUGGGAAUAGGUACAAUCCAAUUAAAGAAUCAUGAUGGCUCAAUCUAAGUUUUGACAGAUGUUCGCUAUAUACCAAGCUUGAAGAAAAAUCUCAUCUCAUUAAGAGUCCUAGAAUCUAAAAGGCUCACAAUCACUUUAAAAGAUGGAUUAUUGAAGGUAGUAGCUGGGGCACUGACGGUGAUGAAAGACACAAGAAGAAAUAAUUUGUACUAUUUUCAAGGAAAUACAGUUAUUGGAUCAGCAUCAACAAUUUCUGAAAAAGAUGCAGAUUCAGAAGCAACCAAGUGGAGGCAUAUGCGUUUGGGACAUGCUGGUGAAAAAGCUUUGCAGACUUUAGCGAAGCAAGGCUUAUUGAAAGGUACAAAUUCUUGCAAAUUAGAAUUUUAUGAACAUUGUGUUCUGGGCAAGCAGACAAGGGUAAAGUUUGGCUUAGCAAUUCACGAUACAAAAGAAAUUCUGGACUAUGUUCACAAUAAUGUGUGAGGACCUACCAAAACAGCUUCUUUGGGAGGUAUGCACUAUUUUGUUACUUUUGUUGAUGAUUAUUCAAGAAAAGUGUGGGUGUAUUUGAUGAAGAACAAAAAUAAAGUUUUGGGCAUAUUUCUGAAAUGGAAGAAAAUGGUCGAGAUUCAGACUGGUUGAAAGGUCAAAACACUUCGCUCAGACAAUGGUGGUGAGUACAAGAAUGAUUCAUUUCUUCAAAUAUGCCAAGAUGAGGGUAUUGUGUGACAUUUCACUGUUCGAGAUACACCACAACAGAAUGGGGUGGCAGAACGCAUGAACCGGACUAUACUAGAGAAAGUUCGGUGUAUGUUGUCCAAUGCUGGAUUGGGCAAAGAGUUUUGGGCUGAGGCAGUUGUAUAUGCGUGCCAUCUAAUCAACCGUUUGCCAUCAACUGCAAUUGAGGGCAGAACACCCAUGGAGAUGUGGACUGGUAAACCUACCACUGAUUAUAAUUCUUUACAUGUUUUUGGUUCCACUACUUAUUAUCAUGUAAAAGAAUCUAAGUUAGACCCAAGAGCAAAGAAAGCAUUGUUCAUGGGUAUAACUGGUGGAGUAAAAGGAUAUCGUCUCUAGCGUCCUAUUACGAAGAAGAUUAUUUUCAGCAGAGAUGUAACUUUUGAUGAAUCAGCUAUGUUGAAACAAAAAGAUUCUCAAGAGGAUGACAAGACCAGUAGCACUUUACAGUAGGUGGAGUUUGAAAAAGUUAAAGCUGAUCCAGCUGGUGUCGAUGAGAUGGAUAAUGAUUCUCCAUCAACCGAAGAUGAUGAAGAGGUUCUGACUCAGGAACCUUCACAGCAACAAGCUUUAAUUGCAUAUAGAAGGCCACGCAGAGAGAUUCGCAGACCUGCUCGCUUUGUUGAUAUGGUGGCCUAUGCACUUCCAAUUGUAGAUGAUGAUGUUCCUUCCACUUACAGAGAAGCAGUAAGUAAUCCAGAAAGUAUACAGUGGAAGAAAGCAAUGAAUGAAGAAAUGCAGUCUCUUCACAAAAAUGAAACUUGGGAGUUAGUUACACUGCCCAAGAAAAAUAAGGCAAUUGGGUGCAAAUGGGUAUAUGCAAAAAAGGAAGGAUUUCCUCGUAAAAAUAAAAUUCGAUACAAGGAUAGAUUGGUAGCGAAGGGUUACGCUCAGAAGAAAGGAAUAGACUACAAUGAGGUAUUUUCUCCAGUUGUGAAACACUCGUCUAUUCGAAUUUUGCUAGCCAUGGUUGUGCAAUUUGAUCUUAAACUAGUUCAACUUGAUGUAAAAAUUGCAUUUUUACACAGUGAUUUGGAAGAGGAAAUCUACAUGACUCAGCCAGAUGGAUUUAAGGUUGCUGGAAAAGAAAAUUGGGUUUGCAAAUUGACAAAGUCACUUUAUGGGUUGAAACAAUCUCCGAGGCAGUGGUACAAAUGAUUUAAUCGAUUUAUGAAAGGGCAAAGGUACACAAGAAAUAAAUUUGAUCAUUGUGUGUAUUUUCGCAAGCUACAAGAAGGAUCUUUCAUUUAUUUGCUAUUGUAUGUCGAUGAUAUGCUAAUAGCAUCGAAGAGCAAAAAUGAGAUUGAGAAGUUAAAGACUCAACUCAAUCAAGAAUUUGAAAUAAAAGAUUUAGGUGAAGCUAAGAAGAUUCUUGGCAUGGAGAUAUGUAGAGAUAGAGCUCGUGGCAAAGUAAACUUGUCUCAGAAGAAAUAUUUGAAGAAGGUACUACAGUAGUUUGGCAUGACUGAGCAGACAAAACCUGUAAGUACCCCGUUGGCUUCUCAUUUCAAGCUUUCUGCACAAUUAUCUCCUUCAACAGAUGCGGAACGAGAAUACAUGUUACAAGUUCCAUAUUCAAAUGUAGUGGGUAGCUUGAUGUAUGCAAUGGUGUGUACAAGGUCUGACAUUUCACAUGCAGUUGGUAUAGUGAGCAAAUAUAUGCAUAAUCCUAGUAAAGGACAUUGGCAAGCUGUGAAAUGGAUUCUACGGUACAUUUAGAAGACCGUGUAUGUUGGUUUACUGUUUGAAAGAAACGCUACACUUGGUCAAGGUGUGAUCGGGUAUGUUGAUUCUGAUUAUGCUGGUGAUUUGGACAAAUGACGGUCAACUACCGGACAUGUAUUUACUUUUGCUGGAGGGCCAAUUAGUUGGAAGUCUACACUACAGUCUACAGUUGCACUGUCGACUACAGAGGCCGAGUACAUGGCAAUUACAGAGGCUGUUAAAGAGGCUUUUUGGUUACAAGGUUUGCUUGAAAACUUGGGAUUGGCACAGGAGCACAUUAAUGUGUAUUGCGAUAGUCAGAGUGCUAUUCACUUAACGAAGAACCAAGUUUGUCAUGUGUUGAGUGUUAGAAAAUUUAUAUUUAUAAAGGAGAAAAUCGUCAUUUUACAUUUCACGUCUUACUAACAACCCUUACUUUUAUGUAUUUAAGCUUCUUGUAAUUUAAUUAUGUGUGUUUUAUUUUAAUUAAAAUAUUUUAUGUAUUUUAGGGGCAUCAUGGUCAUUUCAUAAUAAACGAGAGAUCAGACUGCAAAACGGACAUCACUUUUGAACUCAAGACGGUCGAAAACCUUAGGAAGAGCAUAAAAGGAAAAAUGGCAUUGUUCACAUGCACGGUACUAUUUACGUGUACGGUACUAUCUACGUUACUGUUCACGACACUGUUCACAUAGACAGAUCGAUGACGUGGCAUUAACCGAUGAUGUGGCAUUGACUGAUGAGGUGUCACGAUCCUGUUGGGCUAAAAUUCUUAUGCACUGUUGAUUGGUGACGUUGCAGCAUAUUAGUGGACCAAAAAUCACGCGUACGGUACAUGCAUUACACAGGAUUAUUUUCAACCAAAUGUUGAGUGUUAGAAAAUGCAUAUUUAUAAAGGAGAAAACCGUCAUUUGACAUUUCAAGUCUUACUAACAACCCUUACUUUUAUGUAUUUAACCUUCUUGUGAUUUAAUUACAUGUGUUUUAUUUUAAUUAAGUAUUUUAUGUAUUUUAGGGGCAUUAUAGUCAUUUCACAAUAAAGGAGAGAUCAGACGGCAAAACGGACAUCACUUUGAACUCAGGACGGUCGAAAACCUUAGGAGGAGCAUAAAAAGAAAAAUGGCACUAUUCACGUGUACGGUACUGUCUAUGUUACUGUUUACGACACUGUUCACAUAGACGGAUCGAUGAUGUGGCAUUGACCGAUGAUGUGGCAUUGACUGAUGAGGUGUCACGAUCCUGUUGGGCUAAAAUUCUUAUGUACUGUUGAUGGUGACGUGGCAACAUAUCAGUGGACGAAAAAUCUCGCGUACGGUACAUGCAUCACACAGGAUUAUUUUCAACCAAACCGUGUUACUGUUCAUCCGGGUCAAACCAUAUUACUGUUCACCCACGUGGUCAAACCGCGUACUGUUGACUGAUGACGUGGCACAAUCCUAAGCUUCCAAACUGUUUUUAAUCCGAUGGCCAUGAUUUACUCCAUGUAUCUAUAAAAAGGGGGCCUCCCCCCCCUAAUUUGAUAUCUCUGAAUCCAUUUUUCGGAUCCAUUUUCUGUAAUUCCCUCUCCAUCUUGUAUUUUCUUCGUAUUUUAAUAAAUUCCCAUUUUGCCCCUAGUUCAAUUAUAAGUGGCUAAUUUUCUUUCAAGCUUGGGUUGAAGGUGAAGUCUCAACAUGUGUCAUGGGCUUUAUUUGGUAAAUUUAUUUUCUCUUCCCCUCUAAUUUUUGUGGAUGAUUUGACUUUUUGUCGACAAAUAAUAAUAGUCUUGUCUAGAUACCGCCUUGGUUACACCGGCUCUCUAGUAUAAGGUUAUUAUUAUUUGGCACGAUAAGCCCUUAGCACCAUAUUGAUUAGAGCGUGGUUCAUGAGGUGUGGAUUCCCCCCUCAUGAUUUAAUUGGCAUUAAUACGGAUUAUUUAGCCCAUGAUGCAUGUUGAUACGGAUCCAGAUACCCAAGUACGUCAUUUCAAUAGAAUUCUCUUCAAUUUAUUCUCACCAUUUCAAUACCAAUUUUAGAAUUUAUUCUCGCCAUUUUAAUUUAAGUUUUAGCAUAUUCCAAAUCAUUUCCACCACAAAUCCAAUCACCCAUUCACAAAAUUAAUUAUACACAAUUAAAAUCCAUCUCCUCGUGGGAUCGACACUCGUCACCAUUGAUCUAUACUACAAUAGAUUCGUGCGCUUGCGAGUACAUUAAAAUUUGCACAACACCAAACCGCAUCACUGUUCAACGCGGGUCAAACCGUGUUACUGUUCACCCACGUGAUCAAACCGCGUACUGUUGACUGAUGACGUGGCACAAUCCUGAGCGUCCAAACUGUUUUUAAUCCGAUGACCACGAUUUACUCAAUAUAUCUAUAAAAAGGGGGCCUCCCCCCCCUAAUUGGAUAUCUCUGAAUCCAUUUUUGGGAUCCAUUUUCUGUAAUUCCUUCUCCAUCUUGUAUUUUCUACGUAUUUUAAUAAAUUUUCAUUUUGCCCCUAGUUCAAUUAUGAGUAGCUAAUUUUCUUUCAAGCUUGGGUUGAAGGUGAAGUUUCAACAUGUGUCAUGGGCUUUAUUUGGUAAAUUUAUUUUCUCUUCCCCCCUAGUUUUUGUGGAUGUUUUGACUUCUCGUCGAUAAAUAAUAAUAAGCUUGUCUAGAUACCGCCCUGGUUACACCGGCUCCCUAGUACAAGGUCAUUACUAUUUGGCACGAUAAGCCCUUAGCACCAUAUUGAUUAGAGCGUGGUUCAUGAGGUGUGGAUUCCCCCCUCAUGAAUUAAUUGGUAUUAAUAAGGAAUAUUUAGCCCAUGAUGCAUGUUGAUACGGAUCCAGAUACCCAAGUACGUCAUUACAAUAGAAUUCUCUUUAAAUUAUUCUCGCCAUUUCAAUUCCAAUUUUAGGAUAAUCCAAAUCAUUUUCACCACAAAUCCAACCACCCAUUUACAAAAUUAAUUCUACACACAAUUAAAAUUCACCUCCUUGUGGGAUCGACACUCGUCACCAUUAGUCUAUUCUACAAUAGAUUCGUGCGCUUGCGAGUUCAAUAAAAUUUGCACAACAUCAUGCGCGUAUGAAGUACAUCGAUGUACAAUUUCACUUUGUGCGGGAAAUUGUUGAUGAGGGGAAGAUUCGUCUUCAGAAAAUUAAAACUGUAGAUAAUCCCGCAGAUAUGUUGACCAAGGUAGUGACGGCGAUCAAGUUUGAGCAUUGUCUAAACUUGAUCAACAUCUUACAAGUUUAAAAGCAGCCAGAGAAGGCAGAAACUAGAAGGUAGUUUGUUGAUAGUCGGCUCAGAUUUACUAAAUCUUCGCCGAGGUGGAGAAUUGUUGAAAAGUCAGCCCACAAAGCUUAUUUUCACACGGUUUUUUCUUGACAAAUUGGAGGUUGGUGGCACAAAUAUUUGACAGGUUGUUGCCAUGCAUGGAUUCAACUUUGGAGAAGCAAAUUUGAAGACAAAUUCCUAAGGUAGGUGCCUAAUUUAUGUUGACAAUUUUGUUGGGGUUGGUGCAAUAGUGCACCCCAUUUUUCCUUAUAAAUAGAAGGCAAUUCCUCAUUUGUUAAUCAUCCCAAUUUGAGAGAAGUUGAGAGCAAUUGCAAGUGAGUUCUUUGAGAGAAUUUGAGAGAGCUUCCACUUGAGUGUUCCAGUGAGGUUCCAUUUGGGUGUAUUGGGGUUGUGGGUUUUGUGAGUUUUUCCCACUUUUGUAAAGUCCCAUUGUUAAUAAAUUUAUCUUCCAGUCUUUGCCCGUGGAUGUAGGCAUUACGCCGAACCACGUAAAUCAUUGUGUUCUAUUUUCUUUGCAUUUGUUUAUAUUUAUAUUUCUCCACAGGUUGCAGUAUUAGUAAUUGCUCAACCCACGUUUCCGCAACAAUAAAAAGAGAAUUUAAAUUACUUUCUUUUCCUAUAUUCUCUCCUCCCAACCAAACACCACCUUAGUGGAUGAAAAAUUUAGAGAAACAAAAUAAUUUCAUUUUAUAACGACUUUGAUGUUUUACUUUUUAUGGAUGUCGUGUUUGAUUGAGAAGGAUCUAUUCUUCGUAAUCUAAUCAUGACCUUUACCUUUAGAAUCAAUAUUGGUUCCUAUAAUCUCCAUUUUAUUUCUAUCAUCCCCUAAAAUUGGAUAUUAGAAUUUGCGAUAAAAAAUUUUGAACUACCAACUUUUCCAUAUCAUGAGCUAACUUGGUUCAAAAAGGACAAGAACCUACCAUACUUCUUAGAGAUAAUUACUUCCAUCCAUCGUGCUGGCAUUUAUGCUUGUCUUGAGUUAGUAAAAGUGAAACUUUCGCAAUAUCAAAGAACGCAAAGGGAAGAUGCUAUUCUCCAAUUAUUAUCGACGUGGUCGAUAAGUAAAGCCUUGAGAUAUGAAACCUCUCAUGCAAAUGCAGUAUAUAUAAGAAUGCAAAAGCCCGAUUUCAUUUAAUUUUGCAACAUCAAUUUCUCUCCUCUUUAAUUUUGUCAUCCAAAAUUAUUCACCACCACCACUCUAGCGGCUUCGUGGCAGCUGCCAGUCACCAUUUCUCUUCUCCUUCACAGGUUCUUAUUUUUUCUCUUAAAAAAAUUCUAAUUAAGGGACUUAUUUUUUAUUUAUUUUAAUUAACUUGGAGUUUACUAAAAAUUAUUCUUUAGUGUACAAAGUAUCGGGCUUGACAGUCUUUACUGAUAUAUGUAGCAUGUAGCUGAAAAAACAAUAAUGUUUCUAUAAUGUUAACGGACGCUGUAAACCAAAUGUAUAAGUCCUUUAAAAUGUUUUGUAUGAAUUUAACUUAAUUAAUCAAUUAUAUUUAUUAUGAAUUUUAUCUAUUUAAUUUAUUUAAGUUUCUACACUUUUUUUUUUCUGACUCGAGUGAUCUUCAAGUUGCCCUUUAUUGGUCCCUUUUUCUGUCCUGUAGCAGUAGCGUUGCUUUACAUUAGUAAAGCUAGCAGUUUAUUAAUUUUUUUUUUAAAGUUUUUAAAGAUUAGUCUCCCCCACCCCCCAACCAAAAAAAAAAAAAAACUUGAUCACUCUACAGAAUACAUUCCUCAGCCAAUGGUUGUUUACUCAAUGUUAUAGAAGCAACCCAGGUCUCUGUAAUUGCUCAAGGAUUAUUUUCUCUACAUUGUUUUUUUUACCUUUUUUUUUAAUCUGUAAUUACUACAUGGGUGAUUAAUAACCAACGUUUGCAAUUAAGAAAAUAAACCACUCACGUUUUGCUCUGUAUUAUUUAGCACUUUUUAGAAGGAAAGCGAGCAUCAUAUUAAUUUUAGCCUUCUAAAAUUUUUAAUAAUAAAUUAAUUCUUGUUUCAUAUAUAAAUUGACUAUUCAAUUUAUUAUUUUGACUCACAGGGUGGGAACCCCCGCGGGUGAUACUCAAGUUAUUUGUUUUAUUAAUAAAACUAGAAAAUAAAACCGCGUUUCACGCGGCUUUGAAAAAAGAAUUUAAUAUUAUCAUUUUUUCUUACUUUACACUUGAUGAAACUGAUAAAAAAUAUGAAUUGAUUUUUUUUUUUAAGAUGAGGCAGCCUUAUAAAAAACAAAAAAACAACUAUUAGCCGGCAAUACAAAUAAAGAAGUAACGCAAGAUAAAGAAUAAAAUGAGAGAAUAUAUUAUAGAGUGAUUUUAUUCAUUCCAAUUGUGUGUGUACAAAACAAAAAGAUGAGCUCUCCUUUUAUAGUUACAUAAUCACUCCAUGAAAUUAAUGAAAAAUUAUGGAUCAUAAUUCUUUGUGAGAUAAUGGGAGUUAUAGGGAAGUUAAAGCUUGCUAAUGGGAGAUAGUAGGGAGACUAAGAGAAAUAUGUUAUGAACAUCUACAUUUAUUUUAAUAAAUUCAUAACACUCCCCAUUGGAUGUUCAUUACAAAGAAUAUGCCUCAUUCAAAUCUUUACAUAAUUAUUAUUGUGUAAUAACAAUCAAAUUAAUUAUGAGAAGAUGAAAAGUCAAAUCUAAAAGAAAAUUUCUCUAUUUAUUAGAUAAUAGAGAAUAUACAAAUAUGAGAAAUGGUGAUGCCACAUCACCUCCUCAAGUCCCAGUUAUAUAUAUAUAUAUAUAUAUAUAUAUAUAUAUAUGGAUAUAGAUUUUUAAUAUUUUGUAAUGUAAUUAUUUUUUAAUCUCAACCAAUAUAUUAGAUAAUAGAGAAUAUGAAAAGAUGAGAAAUAAUGAUGCCACAAAUCUUAAAUAUUUAAUGUUUAUGGAGUUUGAAGAAGUCAAAAUGCACUAAACAAAAGAUUGAAUAAUUAAAUAUGGGAUUAUGACAUUAAAAUUAGGGUCUAAUGGCAUUGUUGAGGGAAGAAGAAGGAACAUUCCUUCAUAUAUUAAUAUUAAUUAAUUGAUGUAUUUUAAGCCACUAAAAUUUAAUUGUUGGCAUAAUAAAAUAAAUGAAUGUUUCAAGACUUAUAAUUAAUUAUUAUUAAUGGUUACAUAUUGUUGAAUUUAAAUAGAAAGAGAAAAAGACAUGUAAUCAUUUAUAAUCUAAUAAUUAUUUUCUAUUUUAAUAUUUUAUAAUGUAAUUAUUUUUUAAUUUCAACUAAUUUAUUAGAUAAUAGAGAAUAUGAGAUAAUGAGAAAUGGUAAUGCCACAUCAUCUCCUCAAGUCCCAACUUUAUAUAUAUAUAUAUAGAUAUAUAGAUAUAUAAAUAUGCAGGUUAAGUUUGCUCUUCCCAUCUUGUGAGUCAAAAUUAGGAAACAAAGUCUUCGAAUUAUUUAAUAUUGAGGUGUUAUAAUUUUAAUCACAGUUAUUGUAAAAAAAAAUAAUAAUAUAAAUGUUAAAUUAUAUUAUUGUUAUUAGCAAGUCACUUAUUGUAUCUUUUUAUCAAGUCACCAAUCAUUGAAUUGAUUCAGCUUUAGCACGCUUAAUUACAAAGCUUUUAGAUUAAAGUUUUCAUAUUCCUUUGAAAACUAGUUGGAAAUAAAAAAGAAUGAAUACAAAACCAUUUAACUUCAUCCAUUCAUAGUCCUAAGAGAUAUUCAUUGGCCCCCAUAAGGUCUACUGCCUUAUAAUAUAAUUUAAACUCAAUUAUUUUUUUAUUUGGCAAAAAUUAGCAAAUUAUCAUCACGAAAUGCCCAUUUCAGUGAACUAUCUUUUAUAAUAUAUAUAUAUAUAUUGGCAAUUCCAAAUGAAAUGAUAUUUUGAAUGAGGAAAAGACUCUAUUAGACAUUUAGACCGGGUUGCAGUUCUGGCACAUUUUGUAUUUGCUCUCAUUCUUCCUGAAGCUCAGUUAUGAUCUUACCUAAUUUGUGGACCCAUCUUACCUUCCACGUGAUUUUGUUCGUCGUUCAUAUGUACAAUUAUUUAUUCUGCGGACCCAGUCAUGCACCCACGUUUCGAAUAUGCAAUUUAAUCGUAGCCGUUCAUCUUACCUAAUUCUGUGAACGAACAAAAUUCCGCCGUCGAUCCUAUAUGUAAGUACCAACCGUGCAUUAUUACAAAAAUCUUACCGAUUAUGAAGCACCGACACCUAGGGCUGGAAAUUAUGAUAUUAGAUGUGUUUCUCAUUUGAAUUAUUUGGGGACAUGUAUAAUACAUGUCAAGUUCUCUAAUAAGACGUUAGUAACUUUAUUUAUCUAUAUUUUUUUAAUUUUUUAGUAUCUCACUUUACAUAUGUUUAAUAGCAUGUUUAAUUUGAAGAAAUAAAAUAAGAGGAGAAAUAAAUAAGAAAAAAAGAGAUGAAUUAUAAAUUAAACUAAACAAUGAAAUUGAGAAUGACUUUAUUUGUUUACUCAUUUUCUGAUCUCUUGCUCUAAAGAACCGGAAUUUUAAGAUAAGGCAGUCAAAUCGUAAAGAUUGAGGAGCAAAAAAUUUUGUUCUCCUUUUUAAAUAAAAAAUUUUAAUUUUUGAUGAAUUUUUAAUAUUAAAUUGGACAUUUGCUAAAUCGGAUCAAAUAUAUCAGAUAUUAAAUCUUAUUUUUAAUGGAUUUAAUUAGGUUCUGUGCAUUUAAAUUAUGAAAUUGGACAAGAUUUGUGUGUGAUUUUAAAAUAAAUUUGAACUUGAAUUCGAUGCAUUCAAAUAAUCAAAGAGACAAAUUUAUAAUUUCAUUUCUAAAUAAAACAUAUUCUUUAAAUUUUGGGAGCUGUUGUGGUGGAAUUGUUACACCAUAAAGUACUGAUGAUAACUGAUAAAUCAUAACGUAUGUACAGAUUUAAUAUUUAUUGCAACUGCUCCCACUAUUCUCUCAGCGGCUCUGCCGCUAGUCGCAUUCCAGCCACAUUUUAUCUUGCUAUUAUGCGCCACAUUUACAUAAGAUUGUAUCAGUUUAUUAUGCAUGCCUAUGUUAUUGACAUCCGCUGCAAAGUUUUUUUAAAAAAAAACACAUCUGCCACUUCGGCCUUGGCCGAAGUGGUGGGCUGCUGCCCUCACAAUGCUUUGUGAGGGCAGCGGUUCUAGCCCCCACAAAAGCAUUGUGGGGGCUAAAUGUUCUUUAUAUUUAAAAAUCAUUCUCCCUUGCGAAAUGCAAGUGGAUUAUGGACAUCCCUCUCCUGUGAGGGGUUAUUUGUCUGGGCAUGUACUUCAUAGAAUUUAAUGUAAUAAUGUAAGUCCCAAUCAUGUAUAUCUGAUUGUAAAUAUCAGUGUAAUAUCUUUGCUACAAUAGCAGUUGUUGUAAAUAUCUGUGUAAUGCAGUAAUAUGAUGAUUAAUCAGUAUUCAAAAAAAAAAAAAAACACAUCUAAUCUUUGCUUCAAUUCAAAUAUUGAUAUAUCUUUCUUUGCUUCAGGUAUAGAAAAGAAAAACACCGAGAAAUUAAGUUUAAUUCCAACUCCAAAUAUGGAAGAAGCCGGCAGAUCAUCAAACCGAGAAGCAAAUGAUCAAAGCAAUUUCUCCAAGUAAGAAAAUAAACGCGCCAACGGAGCAACCACUGUCAGUAUUACUGAAAAACCUUUUUUUAAUAUUUUAUAUAUUACAAUGAAAGCCCAACACAUAGUAUCAAUGUUCAAUUAAUGUCUGAUAUAUCUCUUUCUUCUCCAAUUCUUUCUUCUUAACUCUCUUUCGGUUUUCAAUCUAGCUAGUGCAAUCUUCAAAGCACCUUUAAGGUACGUAUAGUUCUCACCAGUCACAUGAUCAUUUUCUUAACAUUCUGAGCUACUUGUUUGUUUACACUCACAGACACACAAAUAAAAAAUAAAUAACUCCACCUGUAGUUUCUCUCUCCCCGUUUGCUUUUGUAGUUUUCUUAUCAAUUAGUUUGCACAAACUUAAAAUAUUGAUUAUCUUCUUUUUCUUUUUCAUAUUGAUUAUUCAUGUAAUCUAUCUAUUUGUUUCAAGAACUUUUGCAUUUCUUUUAGAAAAAUUAAUUAUCGAUGAUAUGCGCCCCACCAAUGAACCCAACUUUAACUUUACCAAGGCAAACUUCUGGGUAUUUUUAUAUAAGGUUGAGGUGAAAUUAGAGUAAACUAUCUAUCAUUACUCUUCCUAAUAAUUGUUUAGCAUCAUUAUGUCACCGUUAAAAAGGCAAAAUUACCAAGGAGGUAGGUGAAAAAAAUAAUACCCAAGGAGAAGCCUUGUUGUCAAGUAAUUCAUGACGAUGUUGUUUCCCCUCAUCUUACUGAGCUAGGUCAAUUUAUGGAUUAAUAACAUGUCAUGUUUUAACAGUUAGCUUACUGAUUAUUUAAAUAAUAAUAAUAUUUUAAUAUUAAGUUGAAUAUAACUGAAAAAUAAGAUUUAAAUGAUUUUGGAAGAAUGCCAAUAGUCCAACUCAUCCGCAAAAUUCAAUCUAUGAUCGCCCUUACUCGAAAAAAUUUUCAGCUAAGCCUACCAGAGCUAUCUUAAUCGGCCCAUAAGAGUCGUUAUUUUGGAUUGGACAAAGGGGAACAAAACGCUAGAGGAUCUUAAAAGUCUAAAAUCUGCCCCACAAGGGUAUUAUGUGAUGGGGUGGGGUUAUUUGUAUCUUAUUCAUUUUUUUUUAAAUGAGAAUUAUUACUCAUGAUAUUUAUAAUCAUAUAAUUACUGAGAUCCGUUUAUAUCAAUUCUAAUAUGGCACCGCUUAGAUUUUUAACACUCUCAAAUAUUCGAGGGACGUCAACUCUCUUCCAAGGAGAAAGACUACCUUCACUCAAGUUUUGGAGCUUCGAGAAAAAAAAUUUAAAUUAAACUCCUGCAAUAUUUGAGAAUUAUUACUCAUGAUAUUUAUAAUCAUAUAAUUACUGAGAUCCGUUUAUAUCAAUUCUAAUAUGGCACCGCUUAGAUUUUUAACACUCUCAAAUAUUCGAGGGACGUCAACUCUCUUCCUAGGAGAAAGACUACCUUCACUCAAGUUUUGGAGCUCCGAGAAAAAAAAUUUAAAUUAAACUCCUGCAAUGCGUCUGCGGGAGCUCGAACCACUUCUCUCACAUUUGUGAGAGAGUGGCUCUAGCCACUUGAGCUUAACCCAAGUGGUCGUAUCUUAUUCAUUCUUUAAAAGCCCCUUUGCUCAACAUACUGAUGUGUUGACUUUUGAAAAAGAGAGCUUUAACAAAAGAAAUUAAUUUAUUUUAAGAUUUUAAUAAGUGUUUAGAGUAGAAGUUAAUCUUUUAAAAAUUGAGUAGAAGUUAAUCUUUUAAAAAUUUAACACCCUACAACACAAGGAUGGCAAUAAAAUGUGGAUUCGGUCCGCAUAUCAAAGAUUUGAUAGAUCUAGAUCCAAAAAAAUCUGAUUCUAUAUAUUAAAAAUGCAGAUCCAAAUGUUAAGAAUUAGAAUCUGCACGGAUCUAAAUUUGGAUCCGGAUAUAAGUGCAUUUAAAAAAUUGAAUAUCUAGAUUAGGUUAAAUUAUAUACUAAAUUAAAAUUAAAUAAAAAUUAUUUGUUUUUUUAUGUUUGAUUUAUAUGCGGUAUUUUUAAUUGUGGAUUUAUGAUAUUGCUUUAUGUUAUUCAUGUGCAGUUAUUAAUUGUUAAAUUACGAUUGGAUUUUAUUUGAUAUUAUUAGGUCAAUUGUUGAAUUUUAAUUCAUGCGGAUCUAAAUAUCUAGGAUAUUCGUACAGAGCUUCACACAUUUUUGUGUUAGUCUUUAAUUAUUUGAUUUUCCUGUUUAUUUUUGGUUGAAUCAAAUUCAAGAUUUUUCAAGUAAUGUUUGAAGGUAAAUACGAAGUAAAUACGUUUGAUACUCCAUAAAAGAUAAAACUUUAAGAUUUAAGAAACAAAGUGGGUGAAAUUGGGUGUUUUUGUAAGGUUAUUUGAACCAUAACCACUCUCUACAUUCGUAAUUUCAAAUAAUUUUUUGACUGCUUAAUUUCCUAAUAAUACUUAAUAAAUGUCUUUUAUAUAUGCUCCUUACCUUAUAAAUAAAUAAUUAAUAUAAUUUCUCGCUCUUCAACAUCAUGAAUCUAGGUCAUAAACUUCAUUUAAUAUUGACCAUCAUCAAUUAACCAUUAAUCUAAAGGCCACAAAAUCGUGUCAAAAGUUGCGGAAAAUUAAGGGGUCAUUUAUCGUUUCCAUUUUUAAAAGUUAGUAUUUAGUGUUACGUUUGCCAAUAAAAAUAAUAAUACAUUUGAAUGUGUGUGCUUAUAGCCUGUGGGUGUUGAAGUAUAUUGAUGUUUAAUUAUAAAUCUUAAAAAAAAUUAUGUUAAGUCUGUUUUUUUUUUUGGCUUCUGGCACAGAAAAGUAAAAUUAAGUUUAAUUCUUAACACCAACAUGGAAGAAGCCAGCAGUUCAUCAAGGCGAGAAGCAAAUGAUCAAACCAACGUCUGCAACUGCAAGUAAGAAAAUCAGUACUAUAUAUGUAUCUAAUAUUAGAUGUGUAGAAUUGAUUUAUUGUACUUUUCAUGUUACAUAAUUCAUUGAUGGAUUGCAUUUUGAUUCGUUAUUUAUAAUCAAAGUUAAAGCUUAAAGUCUUGAAUAUUUUGUGAAUAUAUAGAAAUUUUCCAAUAAGGUCCCACACUUUAUUAAAGUGCGAAUUUAAUUGAGUUUUUAGAAGGCCUAUAAUUAAUUAAUGACAUUGAGCUCGCUCUAAACCCUCCUCAAACUCACACGGAAGUAAAUAAAAUUGAGCUAAUAAUAAAGUUACCCCAAAUUUUGAAUUAAUGAUAAACUUACCUAAAAGAUUUGCUUUUAAUGGGAUUGAGGUGGAGUUUAUUGGUAAAUUGCAUAUAAUUUUUCGUGGAUCCACCUAGCGUAACUAGCUGAAAACUAUACACUACCUUAUUCUCCAAGUGACUGUUGUUAAGAAUUAUCACGAUUACUAUUGUUUAUUCCUUACUAACAAUUCAAAGUCUGCGACGCACCGAGUCAGCAAUGGUGUGUGUAUAUUAUUUAACAAGAAACUCCUCACUUUAAAAAAGUUGGGGUGAAAUUGAAGGACAAAAACAAAAAUUUCAAUGCAAGUGUUUACGUUUUUAAAAAAAAAUUAUAUUAGAGUUCAUAUUAUUUUUCAUUUUAGCAUAUUCACAUCAAACCUCUAUCUCUUUUGGAAAUAAAAUUUGUGCCAUUUUUUUUACUAGGAGAAAUUAUCUCUAUACUACCUUUCUUCUACCAUAUGUACAUCUAACCACUAUAAAAUUUUGACACGUACUUUGCCACUUUUGUUUCAAACUUGUAUCAAUUAACCACUUUGACAUUCAAAAUAACCAUUUUACCCUUAAAUAAAUUAAAACACUAUUUCAUUCUAUAAAAUAUUAAAAAAUAUAAAAUUAUAAUUAUAAGAAUACCCCUAACUUUGAUAAAACAAAUAAAUCUCAAAAUCUAAGAUAAUGAAUUUUAAAUAAAAUUAUAAUUAUAAAAAAUAUCAUCUUGUAAUUAUAACUUUUUGUAAUUUUAAUUUCAUUUAAUUUUUGUAAUUAAAUUAAUUAUAGGAAAGUUUACAAAAAUUAACACGAAGAGAAAGCUCCCUAUAAUUAUUGUAAACUUCCCUAUAAUUAAUAUUAAGAAACUUUCCUAUACAAAUUGAAUGAAAUUAUGAUUACAAAAAUUAACAUGAUAAUUUUUAAAUGAAAUUAUAUUUAUAAAAAAUUAACAUGUUGAAUUUAAUAUUUAUUUAUUUUAAUAAAUUCAAGGGUAUUCUUUAAUUAAUUUUAUUAUUUUUCAAAUUUUCGUAGAAUAAAAUGGUAUUUUAAUGUAUUUAGGGAUAAAAUGGUCAUUUUCAAGUGUCAAAAUGGUUGUUUGAUACAAGAUUAAAAACAAAGGUGGUGCAAGAUACAUGUUAAAUUUUAUGGUGGUUCAAUAUAUAUAUAACGAAAGAAAGGUGAUGCAGAGAUAAAUUCCCUUUUAACUAGCCCCUCUACAAUUAACUCUUGAGUCUACCAUUGGCGAUCAUCUGGAUGACUAGAUUGUAAUAAUAACUUCUCUGAUAUGUGAUCCAUUUUUGACCUUAUCUGCAGAGACAAAAACGAAUUAACUCUUGAGUCUACCAUUGGCGAUCAUCUGGAUGACUAGANNNNNNNNNNNNNNNNNNNNNNNNNNNNNNNNNNNNNNNNNNNNNNNNNNNNNNNNNNNNNNNNNNNNNNNNNNNNNNNNNNNNNNNNNNNNNNNNNNNNNNNNNNNNNNNNNNNNNNNNNNNNNNNNNNNNNNNNNNNNNNNNNNNNNNNNNNNNNNNNNNNNNNNNNNNNNNNNNNNNNNNNNNNNNNNNNNNNNNNNNNNNNNNNNNNNNNNNNNNNNNNNNNNNNNNNNNNNNNNNNNNNNNNNNNNNNNNNNNNNNNNNNNNNNNNNNNNNNNNNNNNNNNNNNNNNNNNNNNNNNNNNNNNNNNNNNNNNNNNNNNNNNNNNNNNNNNNNNNNNNNNNNNNNNNNNNNNNNNNNNNNNNNNNNNNNNNNNNNNNNNNNNNNNNNNNNNNNNNNNNNNNNNNNNNNNNNNNNNNNNNNNNNNNNNNNNNNNNNNNNNNNNNNNNNNNNUCAGUAUUAUUAAUUAAUUUUCAAAAUAAUAAUAACAAUUAUAUAAUUAAUAGAUUCUGUUUUCAUGAUGAUUAACUCAGAUGAUCAAGAGGAGGAAAUAACUGAACAAACUAAAGAUUUACAGAGUUCAAUAGGUAAAUAAAUAAUUAACAUAAAGAGAUUAAUUAAUUGUUAAUUUACUGAUUCAAUUUCAGUAUUAUUAAUUAAUUUUUCAAAAUAAUAAUAACGAUUAUAUAAUUUAUAGAUUCUGUUUUCAUGACGAUUAACUCAGAUGGUCAAGGGGAGGAUGAUUAUUAUGUUCGUUAUUGGCCGCUCUACAGAAUGAUAGAGAAGAAUGAUUGGCGAGGUGUGGAAGAUUUCGUCACUAAUGAUCCCGAUGCCUUGACCGCCAAGACUUUUGCACCGUGUUCAAAGACAAUAUUUCACGCGAUUGUGGAGUUAUGGGUUGAUGUUGAGUCUGAUGACGUCACAUGCCUCCUCGAUAAGCUGGCGUCAAAGGUCGAUCCACAAACACUAGCACGACAAGAUGUACUUGGGUGCACAGCUCUAUUUCACUGUGCGGGAAAAGGGAAUCUAAGGGCCUUAAAAGUCCUAGUGAAGUAUAACCCUGAUUUAACAACCAUAAGGAGCAAGGAAAACGAUCUUCCGGUUCAAAUGGCAGCGUAUAAGGGUCAUAAGGAUACGUUUCAGUAUCUACUAGAGGUAACUCAUGGAGUAGACAUCUACAGCGGCAAGGAUGGUGCCAACAUGCUUUCAUUUCUCAUCGACGCUACUUUAUACGGUCAGUAUUAUCGAAUGAACAUUGAAUUGUUUAGAUAUACACACUUAAAUCUUGUUUGCCGCUUUCGAAUAAUGUGCUCCGCUAAACCAAAUUCCUGUUUCUACUGUUGAUUGCUUGGUUAUACUUUAGUUUUAUUAUCUUCGUUUAUAUAUGUCUAUAUAUGAUGCUCGCAUUAUAUAGAGAUCAAAUACAUCGCCACUACUCUGACUUUGUUCAUUAAUUAGAUGUAGCUUUGGAUUUAUUGAAGCUUCGUCCAACGAUUGGCCGUGACAACAUCGACUCUCGGAGAAUUGUUCUAAACACGUUGGCUGAAAAGCCUUACGCGUUUGCAAGUGGGAGUCGGCUUGGACAUUUGCAACGCUUAAUUUACAAUUGUUGGUGUCAACAAUCUUUUACGAACACACACACACAUCUAUAUAGUGAUCCUCCAAUGAAGGAGCCCUCAUUUUAAUAAAAUGAGGAGGCACUAAUUGGAAGAUGACCCCAUAUAUAUGUGUGUAUAUAUAGUGUUUAUUUGUGUGACCUAACAAAACCAAGCAAAUAAAUUUGCAGGCACUCCUGUGGAAGAGGAACUUGUUCCUUCCAUUCAGACCAACGGUAAUCAAAAUGUGGAUGGAGACAUGGAGAACCUUAUCGUGACAUCCAAAAUCCACUCAAAAACAUCCACACGUUUUGGAUCUGCUAAGAAAAUCACUACGACAUUUGGUCUGUAAAACUGUUAUAUACUAAGUCUUCUAGAAUUUAUGAUUCUGAAUUGAAAGCUAUUUCGUUUGUUUAUACUUAUGACAGGUGCAACGUGGCAUAAAUCGUAUUGGAUGCUCUGGAAUGCCCUCAUGCGACUAGGUAAGUCUUGAGAGGCUGUGUUCAAUUAAAAUAUAGUUGUUUGAAAUCAAUUUAUUUAUCUCCUUUUUAUUGAUCGAGUUCAAUUGCAGCCCCCAGCAUCAAAGCUAUACAUGAACAAAAGUUAGCGCACAUGCAGACAGUUGAAAUUGUCAGAAUUAUCUGUAAAGAAGUGAUUUGGACCCGUCACAGAAGAGAAUUGAAGGGAGCAUUGUUCACAGCUGCAAGAUUGGGGAUACAUGAGUUUGUCAAUGAAUUUAUUAUGGCCCAUAACAUGACUGCAGAUGUGUUGAAUGAGGAUCGGCGUAACAUAUUUGAUGUUGCAGUUUUACAUCGUCGUGAAAAAGUUUUUAAUCUAAUACAUCGUGUAAAUUUCACAAUAAAUUUAUUUUCUACAGAAGGCAAUUCUGGCAACAACAUUCUGCAUUUAGCGGCAGAAUUGGUACCUUCAAGUGAAGUGGCUGGUGCAGCAUUGCAGAUGCAGCGGGAGUUGCAAUGGUUCAAGGUGUGAUUGCUCAUCCGACAACUUAAUACACCUUUUGAUAUUUAAUAGUCACAAUUUGAUGUUUGUGGCACAAUAGGAGAAAUAAGUAUUGAUAUUAAGACUAAAAAAAUUGACAGAAACAUAGACAAAAAUAAGAUUUCAAGCAACAGUUCCGAUUUAAAAAAUUAAAAAACAAGGUAAACCAGCGCCGUUUUUAACUUGUUUCUGUGAGCGUUCUAUCACUUUGGCAUUUGCAGGGCAUAUGUAGGCGUGAGAACGCAUAAACAAUUCUUCAAAAUGAAAAUUUCCGACUAAUUUCUUAGUCCAAAUGCCUUUAGUUAUCAUCUUCCCAUUAAGUACAUUGAGCCUUUCUGCACCCAGAAAUCUACCUUAAAAGAAAGUUUUAGUCCUCGUGUUUAUGACUUCUCUGCAGGCGGUAGAAAAACUUAUCCAUCC
rnacentral:lncRNA from 1 species